rnacentral:lncRNA from 1 species
GUGGUAUUUCUGGAUCCUUACCAAGGCAGUGAUGGUAUAUGCCUUCUCUCAAGAUAUGUGGUAUUUGUGGUAUAAGGCAUAGUGACAUUGCCUUCUCUCUCACCCUACUCUAAUAAGGCUUUAAUAUCUGGAGCUCAUAGGUGGGAGAUAAAGUAUACAUACUUACAAGACAUUUAUUGUAUAGUCAAACCAUGGAUCCAAAGAAACAAAUCAAUAAGCCAAAUCAAGAUGUGCAUGUGUGGCGAAUGAAUGGUGUAUGGUGAUGAUGGUGAUAACAAUGGUGGAAGUCUAAUUCUACUUUUGCUCUUUUGAGGGGAUACAUACCUUCCUUGCUUUUUGAAACUUUAUGAGGAGAAUGAGAUGCUCUUCUUUUUCUUUUCUCUCAGGUGGGUAUCCUGUACCCCUAAUUCUACUGUCGGACACUUGUCUAUUUUUACCUCUCGUCUCACUCUUUUUUUUUCUUUCGAGGUUCCGGGCACUUGCCCCUUUUUAUUUCCUCGUUUAUUAUUUUUUUCUCUUUUUUUUAGAGCACUCAUCUGUUGAGAUAAUAUAGCAAGUGGUAGUAGCAAGAUAACUUGAGCAUUUAUUUCACAAGGGAAAACAGAAAUAUUUUUGGCUAUUCUUUCCCGGAUUAGGAGUAGAAUAUUUUUGGGUGGUUCUGGAGAUGGACAUGGAUGGAUAUAUGUGGAUGGUACUUCCGGAGUAGAAGUAGCAUAUAUGAGUAAACGUGCAAGUGAAUCUUGAUUUAACCACAUGACAAGCUCCUAAGGGUCUGCACAGCUUGACCACACUCAAUGCUCAUAAGCAGUAAAUAAUAAAUAUGUGGCUCAAAGUCUAGCAAGCAUGUAUAUAUGGCUGUGGUAGGAAUUUAAACUCUCAUCAUACAGGAACUCAUCAUGCAACAUUUUAAAGAUUUUCAAAGAUAAAAUUCUCCAGAUUUCUAGCAUCUCUAGGAACAGAUAAAUAGCAACUCAACCUUCCCAUAUCAUAUCCGUUAACAACUUAGAUUUCAGAUCAAGUUUUCAUCCCACAAGUUUAGAUCUAGAGCAAGCUUUAAAUUAUAACAGUUAUGUCUAAACUUGAGAGAGAGCUUCAAAUUUGCAAAUUAGGCAGAGUAACUAUUCAUCAUAUCCAUGCUAGAGUUUUAUUAUUAAGAUUCAGAUUAGCAUAGCCACUUUAUUUAUUUAUUAAACACACUAAGCAAAAGAUAUAUAUAUAUAAGCACAAAAUCUUUAUUUGGUUUUUCAUAGUUUAUGUAUUUUAAUAUUCUAACAUAAUAUAAGUAUAAAGAUAGGUAGAAAUACUUAGCGAGAUAAAUGGGGGUGCUCUCCCCCAAGCUGAAUUUUGACGUAAUUUCUCUUGCUGUAGCUAGCAGGUGGCAAAGGUGUAUUUGAAAGUUAGCAACAUUCUGACAACGAUUAGAAUGUCCUCCGUCUGCUAGUCUUCUUGAUUCUUAAAUUCUGUGGAGCUCAAAUAGACAACAAAGCUCGUGGAACUAAGUGUUAGCAUAAAUAUCUAGCCUUCAUCAUGUUGAGCUUCCUCAAUAAAUAUUACUCCCUAUUUUUAUAUUUUUAUUUUAUAAAGCAGAAAAGAAAUAUUUAUUUUAUUUUUAUGCCACCAUAGUGAAGGUACUUAUGGGUUUUAUGCCACUCGUAUACUCACAUGGGGCUUAGUAUUUUUUAACAUUUUUAUUUUCUUUUCAAGAUAGCAUGAUUAACUAAUAAUCUAUUUAAAGAAAGUAAAUAAUUAAAGGGAAAAGGGAAUGCAGAAAGGAUAAAUAUGGAUAACUACCGAUCUUACCUUUCGGCGAGGGUUCAAUGUUUUAAGUCUUUUUAACAAGACUUCUCACCGUGUUCAUUCUUUAGGUGCGUCAUUUGAUUCAGGUGCGGACCUUGACAUCUGCACCUCUUGAUACGGUGUCACCCAUGUUCUUCGUUUGCCCAGCAGUUCGAAGUGCGGCGUUGGCAGUAUCCUGCUCAGUGUGUUUGUGCUCGUAGAUCCAGGUCCUUCACUUGGUAGAGUCUGAGAGUUAUAAAACUCCUCCGUGUUUUGCUCAAAGUGUACCUGCUCAUAGAGACAAGGCAGAGAUCAAGUGCAUGGGUCCUGUUGGUGGAAAACACCAACAGAACCUAAAGUGUAUUUGUUGUUCUCUAACCCUAAGCAUAGUGAGCAAGACAAAGUUGAUGGAUGAAAAGUUCAUGAGUGUAGCACUUAUAACAUUUGUCAGAUCAGAUCGCUCAACCUUAUGGAAAGAUAAUUUAUCUAUGUAUAUGUCUUUUUCUUUAUAUCUCUCAAUGAUUGAAUGUGUAACAUUUUAGCUCAUAUGAUUAGGAGUGUGGGAUCAUGGAGGUAGUACUAAGAAUAAGGAUUAAAGGACUAAACAUGUUGAAUCAGUUGGGUUGGUUAAUCUAGACUUGUAAAUCAUACAUGUUUGUCUCUUUUAUUUAUAUGAACGCCAAAACCAAGGAGAAGCUUAUAAAAGUGAUAGUCAAGUACCUUAAGAUGUUACCUUGCUUGAAGAGUGAUGGUACAGUAUCACCUUGUGGAAGCUUUCCUUUCUUAGUGGUUGUGCAUCGUGUUUGUGGCACCCUCCAUGGAUCAUCUCUCUAUGAUGAAUGAGCUAUGUCCUUCUUGUGCAAAUUGUUAAACUUCAUGUGUCACUCUCUUCAUCUCUGAUGUGAGUUUAUCUCAAGACUUCCCAAAUCGAUAUUGAAAGUUUUUCUGCAGGGGUUAGUCCGACAAAAAUAUACCAAUGUCUACACAAGUAGUUUUUAGUUCAAUAACCGAAUUAGACUCCAUGUCUAAUCAGAUUAAGGAAGGCUGUUUAACCUAAGCACCAUGCUUAAUUUAAAAGCCAAUAGAAGUAUGUGCUGUACUUCCAAACUAACACUUACUAGUAAAUAGACAAAGGUAGCAUGACAGCAUUUAUAGAGAUCUACUCAAGUGGAGAUGAAGUAGUGUGAUUAGUAUUUAACAAAUUGAGCAUGUCUUAAAGGUAGGGACAACCAACAUAGCAACAUGACAAAGGAUGUUUUUAUGUAAAGUACUCCCCCAAGCUUGAAUUUUGCAGAAUUCAAGUUUGGAUGAAUUUAAUUCAAUGUUGUAUGAUGAUUGGUUGGACAUACCUUGUGCUUGUCAUUCAUCCGAUCUUCUUGUUCCAAUCCUGGAAAGGUUAGUGACAAGAAUACCCGAAGGAAUAUUUUUACAAUUAUCCUUAUAUGCUCAAUACACAAGGUAAUGUUGCAAAUAAUUAAAAACUCAUGUUACGAUCUGAUCAGCGCUUAUUUUAAGGCACUAAGCUUGUCCUUGGGAAACCAUCAAUUUAUGUCGGCGAAGUGGUUUCCCUUCCAACGCUGACCUAAAUCAAGAUUAACUCAAUGAGAUCUGCAAUAUUUAUUAUAGACAUAUGCAUCGACAACCGCCCUUUUAAAGUUUUUAUAAAUAGAAAGGAAGAGGGGCUUGGAGAUCUCAAAUGUGGUGAUGUUGGAGAGACCAAUAGAUUGGGAAGAUGUUGCAUAUGAGCAUGGAGUAAACGAAGUGGCUAUGAAAUAAAUUCCAUGCUCAUUAAUGUUAUCUUCGCCUCCAAUCUGAAUGUUCGGAGUUUCACCUUGAUUGGUCUCACCUAUGUCCUCUUCUGUAGUUGGAUGAAUCUUAUCUUCAAAGGGAGUCAAGAACUCACCAUUUGAAAUUGAGCCAAAGUCAGAAUCCAUUAAGGCUUCUUCCUUAUCCAUCCAUUCUACACAUUCUAGCCAUUUAGAACUUGUGAUCAGGAAAGGGGAGGUGUUAGAAUUUUCAAUAUGGCUUAGCUCUCCUUCACUUGAUAUGUCAUCCUCGACUUCUUCAUAACAGGAACCAGGACAUUCUCUAAGAGAACCAUUAUUGCGAGGAUUUGAAUUAUCCCUGCUUGAAGGUCUCUUAUGGAACCAUAAGUCUAAACCAUCAGCAUCUGAAAGAUUUAAGGUUGGAAUUCCUUCCUCCCUUGGAGAAUUUUGGGGUAUUGAUGGUUUAGGAUCGAUAGCUAAAGUUUGGAAUUGAAGUGGUUGUGAUCUGGCUAUCGAAACUUCUUCUUCUUGUCUAGAAACUGGUUCUGUCUCUUUCUCAGGGAUAUAAAAGCUAGGAGACUUUCCGCUCAUUAAAUCAAUCAAAUUCCAAGCUUCACUAGCGGAUAGGUGGUGGAAAGAUCCUCCAGAGGCCGCAUGAAGGGUUUGCUUAUCUUUCCUACUAAGGCCCUCAAAAAAGUGAAUUAGAAGAACUUCUUCUGGAAUAGAAAGCUUUGGGCCAGUGAGAGUAAGGUUAAUAAAGCGGUCCCAUGAUUUGCCAAGAGAUUCUUCUUCCAGUUGUCUAAAAGAAAUAAUCUCACGUCAAAGUUCCGCCACUUUAGAGAUUGGAAAAUAUUUUAAAAGAAAACUAUUAUGUAACUCCUUCCAAUCUCCAUGAACACUCCCUAUUUUGAGUUUGUAUCAAUGUCUAGCUUUUCCCGUUAAAGAGAACGGAAAGAGCUUCCAUUUAAGGGUCUCAUCGGACAUUCCUUCUAUGCGAAGGAGGUCACAGACUCGAUAAAACUCUCUUAGGUGUGUGUAUGGGUUUUCCUCACCUUCUCCUGAGAAAGGUUGUUUUUGAACAAAUUCUAUGUAUUCGGGGUCUAUCUCAAAACUAGAUGCUAUGAUAGGUUUUGAAGAUUUUGGUGGUUCGAGAUGUGUACCCGUAGGUCUAUGAAAUUCAUAGAUAGACAUGUUUGAAUUCAUGAUAGACCAGAGAUCAAGGAUUAGAUAAGAAGAAAGAUUAGCAGAGAUGAGGCAAAGGAUAAAAGGAAAAUAUAUUUUUUAUUAUUAUUAUUUUUUUAGAAAAUGAUUAAGCUAGUUCGUAGUCAACUCAGCAACUGUUUCCCCGGCAACGGUGCCAAAAAUACUUGUUGACACUUGCUAACACCACUUGAAUACUAGGUUGUCAUCCCCAGCAUAGAACUAGAGUGUACUAUGGUAUUUAUACGCACACAGAUAAUCCGCAAGCGCACGGAUACCGUUGAAGCUUUUACCUGGUUAAAGGUUUUAUCGUAUCCACAGGGAAACGAGAGAACCAACUACGCUCUAACUUAACCAAAAUAGGAAAGAUGGUAGAAUCGAAUAAGAACAAUAUUAAAGGUAAGAUAAUAGUGAGUGAUAAUAUGGGAAUAGAGAAUAGAGCAAUUCUAGUAUAUGGGCGAUGGUAGCAGAAUAGAGAGAAUAACUAUGGUUUCUCUACUUCAAAGGGGUAUGUCUAUGUCUGGGACGAACCAUGUGAUAAGAUUACACCACAAAGGAUGCUUAUCCAUAGGCCGAUAAACCCUACCCAUCCUGCUAACAAGAGGUGGACUACAGAGGACCAACGUAACUGUCACCUACGCGGCCUACCACACGAUCCAGCUAGACAGGGGAUAUCCACAAGUAGUCUAGGUCUAAGCACCAUGCUUACACCUAUACUACAACUCUAACCUAUAGCGUCCUAUAGAUUAGAAGUACUCAAAAGUGUUGUGAACUAGAACAUACAUGAUUAGUAAUUGCAUAAUGAAUUAGAAGUAGAUUACCAGAGUCAUCCCUUGAGCAAGCUUGAUUAGAGCUUGAUCAUGACGAAGUACAACCGGAGGAAGAACCGACAGGCCGGCCUCUCCUCUAAUCCUCCUUCGCUCUCCAUCUUUCUACUAUCUAGAUCUACUCUAGUUUAGAGAAGAGAGGAGAGCUCUCAUCUCUAAACCCUAGCUUUUGCUCUGUCUAUGAAUAAUGAAUAAUGAUCAAGGAUUGCCUCCUCCAGGGGCCAGGGGGUCUGGUUAUAUAGUCUUUUCAGAUGAAUCUGGGCUGUCGGAUCAAACCGACAUUGAUCGUGUGGUUUUCCUUGAAGUAUUAGGUCGGUGGAGAUCUCCCGAGAGAAAGAGUCCCGAUUGGGCUUCAGAGGUGGGCGGGCGCCCAGGGCAGGAGGGUGGGCGCCCUGCCUCUGGCCCCGUUCGGUCUCCGCUUACUUCCCGUGGCUUCUGGAGUCUUCUAGAUGUAAGAUAAUUGCACGACACAUUAAUAUCUCUAUGUAAUUCCGAUGUGUGGGCCUUUCUUCCGUAUUUCCUGAUAACCCCCUGCAGAAAUAGACAAACACCAAAACUCGUGGAAUUCUGUCAGAUAAAACCCUAUGUCUAGAUGUUGAUUUCAUUUGGAUCAUUUUCUUUGUUUAUUUGAUAAUUCAAUUUGAUACUUAAGGACUGUCAACAAAGCCCUACCUUGUCGAUCAGCUGAUUCAAAACAUGCCAAGAGAAUGUUCCAUGAAGUAAUCUUUCCUCGCUUUGGUAUACCCCGAAUAGUUAUAAGCGAUGGAGGUUCCCACUUCAUCGACAAAAUCUUCCGGAAGUACCUAGCUGAUCAUGGAGUUGGACACAACGUCGCAACACCAUACCAUCCUCAGACUAGCUGUUAAGCCGAAACAUCUAACAAACAAAUCAAAAAUAUUUUACAAAAGACCAUAGAUGAGAUGGGUAAGGGGUGGAAGGACAAACUUCCUGAUGCAAUUUGGGCAUAUAGAACUACAUUCAAAACACCCAUAGGCAUGUCACCUUAUCAACUUGUAUAUGGAAAAACUUGUCAUUUGCCUGUGGAAGUAGAGUUUAAGGCUCAUUGGGCACUCAAGAAAUGGAACAUGGAUCUCCACCUCGCUAGCGAGAAUCGUCUGAUGCAACUAUCUCAGCUAUAAAAAUGGAGAGAGAAAGCCUACCAUAAUUCAAGGAUCUAUAAAGAGAGAACAAAAUGAUGGCAUGAUAAGAGAAUCAAGCACAAGGAGUUUAAGCCUGGAGAUAAGGUUCUACUAUUCAAUUUAAGAGUUAAGCUCUUUAGGCAUGGUAAGCUACGAAGUAAGUGGGAUGGACCAUACAAGGUUAUUGACACUUCAACUCAUGGAGCCAUUAUCAUCCAAGACGACAUAGGUAACACUUUUAAGGUAAAUGGUCAACGCUUGAAAAUCUAUCUCGAGCCACAAAACAACCUGGUAGAGGAACUUGAUGUGAUUGAGUUCAUAGAAUUCUCACAUUAAGCUCUCAUAAGCUCUAGACAAUUACCUAACCCUUAACAUGCUCCACGAGUUUUGUUGUCUAUUUGGGUUGUGUAGGAUUUUGAGGCUUAAGAAGAGUGAGACCGAACAUGCAAGCCACAAGAGUGAACGACUAUGUCAACAUCCAGCUUGGGGGAGGCACCCCCACGUGUAUCUAGAUAAGUAUUACUUUUCUUUCUUGGUUUUAUUUACUAGUAUUUGGAAAUAAAUAAAAAAAUGCAUAACUAUGAAACCAAACAAAGUUUUUCUUUUGAGUAAUAUACAAUAGUUUUGUGUAAUCCUAAGUUUUAAAUAAAAUAAAAAAAGUUUGAUCCAUGUCUAGGUAAUUGACAAACAUGAUAUCAGAAGGUCUGAGCUACUAUUUAACUUGUUCCAAGUUUCGCUAGAGUUCUAGAGAUUUUAUCUUUUGAAAAUCUAAAAAUUCAAAAAAAAGAGAUCCUGUUUGACAUAAUACCUAGAGUCUUAUAAGAUAUAAAUAUUAAAACUGUGGACACUUGCUUUGUUCAAGCCAUUGUUAAUUCUUGUGGUUUUGGUUGAGAGAAUUAUCAUGCUCCAAAGAUCAAGAUCUUUUUGUUUUAAAAAUAUAAAAGAUUCACUCUUCCGAAGUAUUAUUGCGUUAGAGGCAUGGGACUAUGCAAAAUUUUGAUUCGAAAAAAAAGAGUGAGACGAGAGAUAAAAAUGGACAAGUGUCCGAAGUAGAAUUAGAGGUACAAAGAUACGUGUCCGAUAGUAGAAUUAGGGGUACUUGGUGCCCACUUGAAAAAAAAGAGAGAAGAACAAAAAGAAAAAAAAGAGAGAGAGACUGAAAAAAAGAGAGAAAAAAAUGAUAGCCCAUGGUCCCUCUAAUAAGCAAUAUGCCAGUAAGAGAUGAUAAACUUUUCAAAAAGGUCAAAGGUCUUGAUCUAGGAGUAUGACAUUCCUCUCCCUUGCUCCGAGCAUUGAUAUAGCAAAAUGCAAAGUAAGUAUGCUAAAACUUUUAAAGCUCUACUUAUAUAUCUUUCGAGAAGAAGGCAAAUGCCUCAGUUUUAUUUUGGAAACUUACAAAAAACUCCAGAACAAAGGUAAGACAGAAGAACUUGAGACGUAGUGCUUGACUUGAUCGUUCUGUUUUUCAAUCACUUAAGAACUUAGUGAUAACUUAAAAAACCCUGUAGUAAGAGACAUAAAAGUAACCCCUGUUUUCUUGCUGAUUUUAGCUUUGCUCAGGGAUGAGCAAAGGUUAAGCUUGGGGAGCUUGUUGACGGUCCUUAAUGCUCACAUUUAACCGUCAACUAAUCAUGGAAAAGGACCUAUAUGCAACCAACAUCCAAAAUUAGGGUUUCAUCUGAUAGAAUUCCACGAGUUUUGGUGUUUGUCUAUUUCUGCAAAGGGUUAUCAGGAAAUAUGGAGGAAAGGUCCACACGUCAGGUUUAUAUAGAGAUAUUAACAUGCACCGCAAUUAUCCAACAUCUAGAAGAGUCGAGAAGCCACGGGAACGAGCGGGAGGCCGAGCGGGCCUGGGGGCUGGGCGCCCGCCUGCUAUAGGAGCCAAUCAGGCUCCGUCUCGUAGAUUAUGCUCCACCGACCUAAAGGAUUAAGGAAAACCGUGCGAUUAAGAUCGGUUUGAUCCGACGGCCCAUGUUCAUUUGGAAGGGCUAUAUAAGCAGGCCCCCUGGCCCCUGGAGAGGAUAUCUCUUCUACAGAAUCAAAGCUAUGGUUUCAAUUAUUCAUCCAAGUAGAGAGAAUCCCUCUAGUUCAUCUAGUUCUAGUUCUAGUUCAUCUAGUUCUAGUUGUAAUCUAGAAAAUAGGGAGAGAGAAGAGGAGAGCAGAGGAGGAGCUGGAUCUGUCAGAUCUUCCUCGACAUUGUACUUUUGCAGCAACUAGUUCGUUCUUCAUCGUUCUCCAAGUUCUUCAAUUCAUAAUUCCUGAGUUCUUUAAUUACUUUUAUUUAUAUUCAAGUUAUUUAUUGGAUUCCCGCUUGCAUCAAGUGCUCUAGUCUUUGCAACGCUAGAGUAGUAAUUAAUAGAUUAGACGUGGUGUUUAGUCUUGCAAUUACCUGGAAUUGCACCCAAUCCUGCGGAUUGUUGUGGUAACCCUAGGGUAGUGACAGCCCUAACGGUCAACAUAUUCCACCUCGUUCAGAUCGGUGUUUGUAGGACCAUAAUCAGAGCUUUCUAGCCCCCUUCUCAUCUCUUUCUGUGGUUAGUGUUCUGAUGUCCCGAAAUAAAUAAUCUUUAAAGUAAUUUUUGAUUCUCAGAUCAACUAGAGAACUCUCAGGAAACUUCCUCUCUUCCCACCAAAAUAAUUAUAUAGUUAUCUUUGGGCGAUCUUGAAUCUUAAUUAGUACACUCACGUUCCCUGUGGAAAAUCGUUACUCUGGAAUACUCCCGGGUGAAAGCUACAUCAGUAUCCGUGCGCUUGUGGAUUUUUUUGUUUGCAUUUAAAAUACCCAACAGUCAUGCAUAUAUUAGUUUACACUUUGAAGAUCAGUUUACUUUAAUAAUUUGUGCUAUGUGAGCUAGAAGUUAAACUUACCAAGUUACUUCCAGUUUCCUGAGCUAACAUAUCAAAGUCCAUUCCUUGUUUAGCAACAAGUGUCUGUAAAAACAUCAUGGGUUCGAAAUAGGUAUUUAUUUGUACGCAUGUUUUUAUUCUAAUGAUAGUUACCCGCACAACAUGUUCAAGGUUGCUAUAUUUAUUUUGUAGCUGCAAAUUUUCCCUUUCAAGUCGAUUCUCUUUAGCAGAAACAAGUGGUUGGGCACUUCCUUUUCUUGUCUUCGUUGCUUCUUUCUCAUCAACACUAAUUGCUCCAUCACUAAUUCCUAGCUUACCAUGCGGCAUUCUACCUGCAAACUCAUAAAUGACACUUGCAUCUAAUUGUGGAUGCUCAAUUUUCCAAUUCGUGCCAUACUUUUUUUCCAUUCCUUGUUCAUAUUGUGCCUUUUUCCAAAAAAACAUAGAAAAGCUAAGGUUCAGUUACAAGACAAAUACAAGAGCUAUCUGUUAGAUAAUCCAACCCUUACCCAUUUAUCAGCAAUAUUCUGGUUGCACAACCUGCCAUCAUUUGUCCCACGAUUCAAUUUAUGAUUAUGCAGCCAAGCACCAGCAAUUCUAGGGUCAACUCCAUUUUUUAGUACCUACAAUUCAAGUAUGCUUUGACAUAUAUGGUACAUUGUACAUAAGUACUCUAUGAAGUCAUAACUUUUUGGUUUGGAUUCUUACCAGCCAUUGGCGUGUUGCCGGUAAGCUUCUUGAGCCACUGCGAUGUUAUACAAUAUUAUCUCUAGCUAGGCGAUUUUGCUUUGCCGUUACUGAUGAUUUUCUAAAUUUUGAUGAACUCCAGUGCUCACAUAGCAAAGCCCAGCCUUCAUUGGUUGUAAAGUCUAUUGGUUUAGCAGAUAUAAGUGCUUCUUUUGUUGGCCAAUGAUUUCCAUACUCGUUCACAUCUUCUGGGGGCACAUUACCAUCCUUAUAUAGCUUCCUUGUGACAGCCCGCUUCUCUUUACUUAAUAUCUUAGGCACCAUGUUCUUAAAUUUUAACUCCAAGACAGCAUCCGCCUUGGCUCUAUCUUCUGGAAGACACUUGAAACACCACUGGACAAUUAUAUUAUUUAUAGUUAGUUGCAGUUGAGAUACAUUAUACAUAAUAGCAAUGUUAGUUAGUAAGCUAUAGUGUAACACCCUAAAAAUUGUUACCUUAGAAAAUAGAGCUAAAAUGAUUUAUUUAUGAAUUUUUGUGCUCAUGAAACAUAGGAAAAAAUAAUAUUUUUUCAUUAAAAUAAAAAUUUAUCAUAGGAUUAGUAAUAUGGUUGUGCAUUCAUGCUGGAAAAUUCAUUUUUAUUGUGAUGAGUGAUUUGACCAAAGAUCAAAAAUAUUUCAAACAUAUUUUAAAUUGUUUUGACAAGGUUUUGAAAUAAAAAAAAACAAAACCCCAGUCAGCCCCAUUUCCCCAGCGCUCAGGCCCAGAGGCCUCGCCUUCUUUUUUUUUCCCGCGCAGGCCGCUCCUUGGCCUAGCAGGCCAGCCCAGCGCGCGCCCACUACUCCCCCUCUCUUCUCUCUGGUGACCGGGCCCCGACCCUUCUCCCACCGACAUCACGGCCCCACCCGUCAGCCGACUCCUUCCCCCCUUCCUUUCUUCUCCACGUAACCGAACGGGAGACUCCACCGAACGGCAGAGAAAUCCCGGUUUCCUCGGGAUCCUUUGCCAAUCCGCGUGUCAUGCCCCUAUAAAGCUCUCAAAUCAACCCUGUAGACCCCAUUUCGCACUUAAGUCGUUCAACCCGAGCUCUAGCUUCGUUUUCCGCGAGAACUAGAUCUCGCCGAGAGUCCUCUCCGCCGCGGCGAGUGCCCGGCUAUUUCUGCUCCUCGAGCCGAAUCGACCCCCUAGGUGAGAUCGCCGCACUCUCCUCUACUCGCCCAUGUGCUCGGUUUGAAUUUUGGUGCAACGAAUCGUGAAAUCCGUUGACGCCGGCGAGCUCGGCCUCCCUGGCCAUGGCGCCGCCGCAUCGGGACGUCGCUCCGGCGGCCGGCCGCCGCCCGUCACACUCCCAGCGCGCCUGAGCCGUCCAAUCGAGGAUCAACGCUCCAGAUUAAAACAUACCUCUUCGUUGAAAAACUUCAUUAAGAGUCCCUGCAACUUUUCUAUAUUUACUCCGCAGUCCUUGGCGUUUUGGGCGGUUUGCUCUUCUCAGUUUUGAAAGCGUAAUCUAGAUGGCUGGUUUCAAAAUACGCUUUCCAAUAUUCACAGAUUUGCCACUGAAACUAUUUUGCUCAUAAUAUAUUCGUUUUAACUCCGUUUUUGUCCAUCCAAAUUUCAUUAGAUUCAUUUUAACGAGCUCUAUAUGUUAGAAGUACUAUUUCUCUGUUUUGAAACUUUUUAUUUCUGCAGUAGCAUUUAAUUAAUUAUUUCUCAAUAGGAAAUCUUGGAAAAUUCAUAACUUCUACGUUUUAAUUUCGAUUUUCGUGAACUUUACGUUUGUGUGAUCGUAGCGCUGCGUAGAAUAUUUUGAUAAACUUCUAUAUUUGUUUUACCACUGUUUGGUGUAUUGUUCUAAUUAUAGCUUGUUUGCUUCAUGUAUGAUUGUCUACAUUGGAUUGUGUGUGUGAUCGAUGAUCGAGUUUAGACGGAGAGCAGUUUUUGGUGAUCAAGAUCAAAGCUUUGGCAACAAGCAAGACCAGCAGAACCAAAAGGAUCAGCAAGAGCAAUUGGAUUAAGGCAAGUAUAGCAUUUGGGUUUUAAUUUUGUGACCAUGAUCGUGUGACUAGAUUAAUGUUAAGUAAUAAAUGAUAAAAAUGACUUUUUAGCCACUUGAUGAUUUAUCUGUAAGUGAGAACCGGGACAACGAUGCAACCAUGAGGGCUAUAAUGGCUCUGGCUUUAGCUCAGUAUGAAGCCCUUUUCUAGCUUGUUAGAGGUUACCCGAAAGGGCGGAGGGGCUGAACCGUUUUGGGUAUAGUGUGGCCUCUGUCUGUAUGUGUAUAGGCUGCACAUCAUUGUGCCAUCGGAAGGGGGUUCUAUAUCUGCGUGCAAAGGAAACCUUGCGGCCCUAACAGGUUAGACGAACUUCUGAAAGGCUUCAUAGUGAUCCCUGCCGACCUUCCUUGGAAGUGGGUUAAGAGGCUGAUCACCUCGGGGGAAGGUAAAUCAUGACUCAUGGGUAAAAAUGUACAACAUCUGUAGAGUGUUAAAAACUGGUAUACUAGCUGUGCUCACGGUCAAGAGCGGCCUUGCGGAUUCUUGCAUCGACGAUGAUGAUUCUUGUGUGUUAAAUAUGCCCAUUAUUUAUUAUUUAAUGCUCUAUAUUAUUUAUGUCACAUUGAUCAUGAGACUGUGGAAUCUAUACAAUCUAGUUGUUAUACUUGUGGAGUUCGACAUGGACUCACUCUUGCUAUUACCCCCACACUUCAGGAGAUGGUUUAGGCUUGUGAUCAACCAGUCAGUUGGAUCCUAUAGAGAGAAGUUAAUACCCGAAGUUGGAGUUGUCUAUCCGUUGUUUGCUAUCAAAGGUUAUCCCUUUUAUACUAAGUACGUUAUAUUUAUGCAUUGUUUUUUUGAUAUUACCCCUUAUUUGUAGCUAUAUGUGAGAUUUGACUUCUAAAACUGACAUAUGGUGCAUAUCUGGUUUUGAUCUUAAAAUCGGGUAUUAAAAAGUGGUAUCAAAGCAAUGCUGUCUGUAGGACGCAAGCCUAGUUAGAAAUUGGUCGUCUUAAGGUUUUGGAAUUGUCAUGAAAUCCUUGCUCUAUAAACCAUGGUAUUUUCAUCCAUACUAUAUCCCUAUCCUUGCUAUUUGUCUCUACCUUGUUGCUUAUUUUAAAAGUACUUGUUCUCACCUUCACUCCUUGAUUUGGCAUUCUAUUAGAACCUUUUCUUACCAUCUUCUUGCGUCUUUGAAAUAUAAGUUUUAGGAUCUUUACCCUUACUAUGAAGAGAACGAUAGUAUCGCAAGUUGAGUGAAGUGUGAACUUCAAUGCUUAGUUGGUUUGUCAUUAUGCUUAUGCUUGAUUUGGAUCUUUGUAAUGAGUGCAAUGAUCUUGUGGGUUUUCUCCAUAAUUUCAUUUAGUUUAGAGAUCUAAGGUUUAAGGAGUAAUGAAAUAAAUAGUUGGGUUUUGGUUCUCUCUUGUUAUCUUAUCCUGUCUUUUCAGAGUAUCUCCUCUUUAUCAGUUUAUAUCUCUGUUCUUGCAUAACCAAAAAUCAUGAGAAAAUUUUGGAUGAUAGUAGACUUCAAGAUCUUUCUCUGACCGCAAGAAUCACCCUCAUAGCUAUCACGGUUUGGAAGUUACAAAAAUUCACAAGACGAUACAAAUGUGCUGUCAGGAAUCUGGACCAGUUUUGGUUGCCUACUGUUAGAGACAAAUAUAGCUAUAGAAUUUGGAAAAGUGUUCUAUAGAAAAGUUGUAGACAAUUUUCUAAGCUUUUCAAAAGUAUAACCUGGAACUCAUUUGGAUAAGUAUAACCUGAGAUAUGACAUUUACACUUGGAUGUUUCUGUUCUGUUUUAAGAUCUGGACAGAUGUGGUAUUUCCUAUUUUCGGCCAGGUUAAAGUCAGAAUCUGGGAAAGCGUUCUAUACAAAAGUUGUAGAGGAUUUCCUAAGCUUUUCAAAAAUGUAAGGAUCAUCUCCAUAUGAGUUAAGUAGCUUGAGAUAUAAUUUCUGGAAUUUACUGCACCUUUGCUGAGACAUUAUCAGGAAGGAUAUUAUGUUUGGUUGUUUUACCUAAGCUUAAAGACAGAAUCUAAGGAGGUAUUCUACAGGAAAGUUGUGGUGAAUUUCAUAAGCUUUCUAACGGUAUAAGCUAUAACUCUAUUGGAUUCAUAGAGUAAGAGUUAUGUCCAUUUUACUACGCUGGUGUUUUUCAUAUCACGAAAAAAUUUCAGGAUACCUGUUUGUUCUCUUGCACAUAAGUUCUUUGGGAUGUCAGAAGUUCUCAAUGUUAACUUGCCUGGAAAAUAUGCAAGCUACCUUUCUUGGUCCCCUAGUUGACUUUUCUUAAGGGGGUAGCCUAAUUAAAGAAGUUACAAGAGAAGAAGUGGUUAAUGACUAGAACAACUACAAGGACAUCAAGUGCUUGGUAUGUUGGUUUGUUUCAAGAUAUCAUUCUAUUUGAAGUGUGCUAAUACCAAUGGAGGUUUAUGUCAUUGCUGAUACUUAUGGAUUGAGAGUUGUGUAUGAGGAUCAGAUGACACCAAAGGCUACAAUGUUACAUAUGCAAUAUGAGAGUGAAACAACUUAAUUGUGAUAAAGGUACCGAUAAUUGGGACUUAGUGAUGAAACUAACCUUGGAUCAAGAGACUCGGUACAACGAAUACAAAAGACUAUGAUGUGUAGCGUACAAAAAGGAUAGGAGAGCUAGUCUCUAGUGUCCUCCAAUCAAUCUCGUCUUAAGGGGGUAGUACUAGGCCUGGGCAAAUUACCCGAUACACAUUACCCGUACCCGAAUUACCCGGACCGGGACCCGAAUUACCCGAACCCGAGGUACCCGAUCCUAAAUUCAGAUAGUGAUUUUGAUUACCCGAAAUUUGUUUGGGUAAUUCAGGUAAUAUCUUUCGGUACCCGAACUACCCGGAUUACCUGAAUAUUUGUCUAUAUCUUUGUAUUUAUCAUGUGUUGUUAGUUAAAUAUUAGAAUUUAUCAAUUUAUUAGAACAUAAUUCUUUUUGUUUGAACAAGUGAUAGUAAUAUAUUAUUCUCUACAAAAUGCUAUUGAAAUUCUAUACAAAUUGCUGGUGAAAUUAUAUAUAAAUUGCUAUUGAAAUUUUGUAUAGUGUGUUGUUUUUUGAAAAUUCGGGUAAAUCGGGAAUACCCGAACCCGAACCCGAAUUAUCGGGUACCCGAAAUUGCGGGUAGUGUUUUUUCGGGACUAAUAUCGGGUAACAAUUUUCAUUACCCGAAUUUUGAAUUACCCGACCUGAAAAAAUCGGGUAACCCGAAUGCCCAGGCCUAGGUAGUAUGUGGAUACCACGGGAUGAUGCAUAUUUAAUUUAUCUUGAAGUGAUAAUUGUGUUCUAAGAUAUCCUAUGGUUAUUAUCAUCUUUCCUUUGAAGAAAAGUGUUACGAGUAUGACAAAGCUGAGUGUUAUCAAAAUAAUAAUACAGAAGAGCAAGUUGACAUUGAACCAAAUCAGAAUCCACAACGACGGAAGCAUAAAUGGAAAGCUCGUAAAAAGCCUGCUCUCGGAAGUAAAGUGCAGCAAAAUUAUAUCAAUGGAAGACUGAGCAAUGUGGAUAAGAAUAACAUUCAAGGAGCCACCAAAGUGGUGGGAGGCUAUAUUCAAGUGGGCUCAGUGCUAGUUUUUGUUCUGUUUGACCGAAGUGCUUCGCAUUCUUUCAUUUCCGCCGACUUGGUAAAGACGAUCGAACGGGUGAAGUGUCCAACGAGGAAGCCUUUGUUUGUUCAAACCACAAUGGGAGAAAUACAUGCAGAUCAAGUUUGAUCGAAUAUUAAUCUGGUCAUAAGCAAGGAAAACUUCACAGUAAACCUCAUUGUGCUAGAGUCACUCGACAUUCCUUUGGUUCUUGGCAAUGGAUGGUUAUGUGCACACAAAGGAGUGAUCUAUGAUACCCAGUGGAAAAUUUUCUUAACCGCGCCAUCAGGAAAAAGAAUUGAGUAUCAAGGUGGUCCACUCCUACUUGAGGAGGCAUAUCCAUGCUAAGUUAUCAUAUCUUUGAGUUGUAUAAGUCAAAAAAAGUUAGUAGUCAAGAUAGACUUUGAUCAAUUAUGAAUAAUAUACAUUCCAUGGAAUAUUUGAGUUUGCCUUGGUAUACAAGUUGUGAAGUUGAAAGAGUUAUCAAGAUCUUUUUCCCGUUUCUCUUUUGGAAUCCGUGCCUCUUCCGAAUCUCGAGGACGAGAUUCAUUUUAAGGGGGGGUAGAUUUGUAACACCCUAAAAAUUGUUACCUUAGAAAAUAGAGCUAAAAUGAAUUAUUUAUGAAUUUUUGUGCUCAUGAAACAUAGGAAAAAAAUAAUAUUUUUUCAUUAAAAUAAAAAUUUAUCAUAGGAUUAGUAAUAUGGUUGUGCAUUCAUGCUGGAAAAUUCAUUUUUAUUGUGAUGAGUGAUUUGACCAAAGAUCAAAAAUAUUUCAAACAUAUUUUAAAUUGUUUUGAAAAGCCUUUGAAAUAAAAAGAAAAAAACAAAACCCCAGCCAGCCCCAUUUCCCCAGCGCUCAGGCCCAUAGGCCUGGCCUUCUUUUUUUCCCCACGCAGGCCGCUCCUUGGCCUAGCAGGCCAGCCCAGCGCGCGCCCUCUACUCCCCCUCUCUUCUCUCUGGUGACCGGGCCCCGACCCUUCUCUCACCGACCUCAUGGCCCCACCCAUCAGCCGACUUCUUUCCCCCUUCCUUUCUUCUCCACGUAACCGAACGGGAGACUCCACCGAAUGGCAGAGAAAUCCCAGUUUCCUCGGGAUCCCUUGCCAAUGCGCGUGUCAUGCCCCUAUAAAGCUCUCAAAUCAACCCCGUCGACCCCCUUUCACACUUAAGUCGUUCAACCCGAGCUCUAGCUUCGUUUUCCACGAGAACUAGAUCUCAACGAGAGUCCUCUACGCCGCGGCGAGUGCCCGGCUGUUUCUGCUCCUUCUCGAGUCGAAUCGACCCCCUAGGUGAGAUCGCCGCACUCUCCUCUACUCGCCCAUGUGCUCGGUUUGAAUUUUGGUGCAAGGAAUCGUGAAAUCCGUUGACGGCGGCGAGCUCGGCCUCCCUGGCCAUGGUGCCGCCGCGUCGGGACUGUUGACGGUUCUUAAGUAUCAAUUUUAAUUAUCAAAUAAACAAGGGAAAGGACCAAUAUGCAACCAACACCUAGAAUUAGGGUUUGAUCUGACAGAAUUCCAUGAGUUUUGUUGUUUAUCUAUUUCUGCAGGGGGUUAUCAGGAAAUAAGGAAGAAAGGCCCACAUGUCGGGAUUACAUAGAGAUAUCAACGCACCGCACGAUUUUCUACCAUCUAGAAGACUACAGAAGCCACGAGAAGAAAACAGAGGCUGAAAGGGGCCAGGCCCAGGGCGCCCGCCCUGGUGACCUGGGCGCCCGCCCCCCUCUGGAAGCCUUUCGGGACUCUCUUCGCACGGGAUAUUCCACCGACCUAUUGGAUCAAGAAAAACAUAGUACCACCUCGCCUACCGACCCAAAAACGCAUAGAGGAGGAGGACUAUAUAAGGAGACCCCCCUAGCCCCUCGAGAAGAUAUUAAGAAAUUAUCAUAGAGAUUGAGGGGUGCCCUCGAAGGAAAACCUCUUCUCUAAUUAAUAUUUCUUUUUAGGCUUAGCAACCAAUGUAAAGUAGAAAUAGAUCUUCUAGUUUCUACUAGAUUGAGAGAUAUAGAGUGGAGGUGUAGAUCGGAGGAAGGCCGGCCUGUCGGUGUCUACUCCAAGCUUGUACCUGCGGGAUCAAGUUCUCCUAACCCGAAGCUUGCUCCUAGGAUUCUUCAGUAUUUCGACUUCUAAAUUCUAAUAAGUUCUUGUUUUAUUGUUCUUCUGGUUUAUGAGUUUACUUUAAUCUCUUCGCUUAGAGUUUAGAGUAAUCAUUGCUGGCGUAAAUGUGGUGUUUAGGCUGGGGUACUCAUAGAUAUUCCCUGACUAGCUGGACCGUGGAAGUAGUGAGGAACGUGACAAUUCCGAGUUACCUUUGCAGACCAUAUCUCGUUAGCAGGAAGGAUAGGGUUUAUAGGUGCGGGUUGAACAUCCUUUGUGGUGUCAAGAUUCCGUUAGCCUCCCCAAUAGAACAGUAGAUCAUCCUUACCAAGGUUAGAAGGAGACUACGGUUGCAGUCUUCUCUAUUUAUCACUCACAUCGAAAGACAUUCUUUGUGCCUAAAGGGUUAGUAGUAAUAGACCGGUUAGUCAGAUGCACUCUUUCUCCUAGUGGUAAAAAAAUAAAUACGAUACUCUGGAUAAUUUCCCGGGUGAAGUGCUCACCGAUAUCCGUGCGCUUGCGGAUCAAUUCCUUAUUGCGUUCCCAAAUAUCAACAAGCAUUUCUGGCGCCGUUGCCGGGGAGAAAGACGGUUGCUGAGAUAACCUUGAGUCUUACUACUAGCUUGUAUCUAUACUUUUAUCUUUUCUUAUCUUUUAUAUUCUUUAUUUAUUUUCUUUACUCUUACCUUAUGGAAAACCAAAAUUCUAAAUCGAUCCAUGAGUCUGCAAUCCCUUCAGUAACUGACCUUUUACCAUGGGAGUCAUCACAGCCUAUCCAAACAUCCCAGUAUAAGUUAAGUUCUAGUUUGAUUGCCAUGAUUCAAAACCUAUCUUUUUCAGGAAAGGAAGACGAAAACCCUUACCUUCAUAUUAGAGAUUUUGAGCAAACAUGUGAUUGUCUUCGCAUUGAAGGCAUUUCUGAUAAAACUUUACGUUGGAAGCUUUUUCCUUUUUCUUUAAGGGGAGAAGCUAGACAAUGGUACAGUCAGAAGGUAAGUCAACAACAAGGUGAAUGGGGUGUUUUACGAGCCAACUUUUGUCUAGAUUUCUAUUCCCUCGACCGUAUAGCCGACCUUAGACUCGAAGUCCUAUCUUUUAAACAAAAAGAUAAUGAAACUUUGGGAAAAUCCUGGAAACAUUUUUCUGAUCUUUUAGAAUCUGGUCCAAACCUUAAUCUUGAAGACCCUGUUCUUUUAUUUCACUUUUUUCGAGGUCUUCAGAAAAAUUACAAACAAAUGCUACACACAAUGUCUAGAGGUUCUUUCUUUCGAAUCCCUACUAAUGAAGCUAGAGUGAUCCUAGAUAGAAUCCUAGAAGCUGAGAUGGAUAAUACCCUUCAUGAUGAAACCUACGAAGCCGAAGUAGACACUCUGCCAAAUUCUUCAUCUACUUUAGCUAUCCCAAGUUCUGAGCCACAAGAGGAAGAAAUUCCACCACCGGACUUCAUGCUGGAUAUAGAAUCCGAUCUUUUUGCUGAUUUUGGAAAUAUUUCAAACUACCAUUCUAUUGACAAACCCCAAAACGGCCAUUUUAGCAUUUAUUUGCCAAGUGAAUAUCAAUUGAGAGAGCUUAUCUCAGUCAUAAGUAGCGAAUGGUUGGAGGAAUCAGAGCUUACCUCCGAUGUGAUCCGUUUGGACACACCCUCUAUAACUAUACGCUGUGCUUAUAAUUCUGAUCGAUUUAAUGCUCUUUAUAAUUCUGUUGUGGGGAUCAACAUCAUGUCUGAAUCUUUUGCACUUAAACUAUUUAAAAAUCUUGUCUUAACCCCCACAACAAAGGUCAUAGAGGAAUCUUCGGGACGAUUAGUCCCUAGUCUUGGAAUUAUUAAUGUCCUACCUCUUACGGUAGAAGGCUCCAUGGUUCAUUUGAACUUUUAUAUCUUUGAUACAUGGGACUUCGACCUGUUGAUAGGACAACCUUUUAGAAGACUCCUUUAUGAAGGUCAUACUGGAAAGAUACACAUCUCUUUUGGAAAAACCUAUAAAAUCCCAAUAACAAUUUCACACUCCUUAAACAAUAAGGCCGAGUCAUAUCUUUUGCCUGAUCCUAUGGAGGAGGUAAAGGCUGCAUCUCUAGAGCUUUUAGAAGAAUCAGACUUAGAAGACGAAAUUCCUUUCUUCACUGAAGAAGAAACCGAACCUUCUGAACCUGAACCCUUAGAUGAGUUUGCAGAAACACCUAGACCCCCCAUAGAGCUUAAAACUUUACCACCCGGUCUUACAUAUGCUUUCCUAAACAAUAAUCCAGAGUUCCCUGUAAUCAUUAGCGAUAAACUCACUCAGGAUCAAACUCUGCGAUUAAUGACCAUUCUUGAGAAACAUCACUCAGUUUUCGGCUACUCACUCCAAGAUCUUACAGGAAUCAGUCCUAUGAUUUGUACCCAUCGUAUUCCAACAGAUCCUUCUGUUUCACCCUCUCGAGAACCCCAACGUAGACUUAAUAACACUAUGAGAGAGGUAGUUAAAAAGGAAGUUAUAAAGUUGCUGCAUGCAGUGAUUAUAUAUCCUGUGCCGCAUAGUGAGUGGGUAAGCCCAGUGCAAGUUGUGCCUAAAAAGGGAGGCAUGACUGUUAUUAUGAAUGAAAAGAACGAGCUAAUUCCGCAACGCACCGUGAGAGGAUGGCGGAUGUGCAUAGACUAUAGAAAACUAAACAAAGCCACGAAAAAGGAUCACUUUCCUUUACCUUUCAUAGAUGAGAUGCUAGAGCGAUUAGCGAACCAUUCGUUCUUCUGUUUCUUAGAUGGAUAUUCAGGAUAUCACCAAAUCCCGAUCCAUCCUGAUGAUCAAAGCAAAACCAAUUUUACAUGCCCAUAUGGAACUUAUGCUUACCGUAGAAUGUCUUUUGGGUUAUGUAAUGCACCAUCUUCUUUUCAAAGAUGCAUGAUGUCUAUAUUUUCUGAUAUGAUCGAAGAAAUUAUGGAAGUUUUCAUGGAUGAUUUCUCUGUUUAUGGAAAAACGUUUGAUAGUUGUCUUGAAAACUUAGACAAGGUUUUGCAAAGAUGUGAAGAAAAGCACUUAGUCCUUAAUUGGGAAAAAUGUCAUUUUAUGGUUAGAGAAGGAAUAGUGCUGGGACACCUAGUGUCUGAAAGAGGUAUUGAGGUAGACAAAGCUAAAAUUGAAAUAAUUGAACAACUACCUCCACCUGUGAAUAUAAAAGGAAUUCAAAGCUUUCUUGGCCAUGCUGGUUUUUAUCGUAGAUUUAUAAAAGAUUUUUCAUUUAUUGCUAGACCACUUACUCUUUUGCUAGCCAAGGAUGCUCCUUUCGAAUUUGAUGAUGCAUGUCUAACAUCUUUCAAUUUAUUAAAGAAAGCACUCAUCUCUGCACCAAUCAUUCAACCCCCUGAUUGGUCGUUGCCUUUUGAAAUUAUGUGUGAUGCUAGUGAUUAUGCUGUGGGGGCAGUAUUGGGACAAACUAAAAAUAAGAAGCAUCAUGCAAUUGCUUAUGCCAGUAAAACUUUGACAGGAGCUCAACUUAACUAUGCAACCACUGAAAAAGAGCUUCUGGCUGUUGUCUUUGCCAUUGAUAAAUUUAGAUCUUAUUUAGUUAGAGCUAAAAUAAUUGUUUACACUGAUCAUGUUGCACUAAAAUAUUUGCUCACUAAAAAAGAUGCUAAACCUCGCCUGAUUAGAUGGAUCUUAUUACUCCAAGAAUUUGACUUAGAAAUAAAAGAUAAAAAGGGAGUAGAAAAUUCUGUUGCUGAUCACUUGUCUAGAAUGUAUUUUAAGAGUCCACAGGAAACCCCCAUCAAUGAUUCACUCCGGGACGACAUGCUCUACGGGAUUAACAGGUCUGACCCCUGGUAUGCAGAUAUUGUUAAUUUUAUGGUUUCAAGGUAUGUACCACCAGGAGCAAACAAGAAGAAGCUUAUUCAAGAAAGUCGUUCACAUAUAUGGGAUGAGCCAUACCUCUUCCGAGUAUGCUCUGAUGGCUUAUGUUGGGUAUUCUUAACAUCAUAACCAAAAGUAGACAGUUUCCUAAUUCUAGUAACGGUGCCAAAAAUGCCAAACCUAUCCCUCACACCACUUAAGCCAAGUUGUCAUCCCCAGCAUGACAUGAGAGACGCGGUAUUGAAAUAUGCAAUUGCUCUUCUAAAUAAAUAAUGAAUGGGAUCUGCAAGCGCACAGAUUAAUACCGAUGUAGCAUUUUAACCGGGAAGUAUUCCAGGUAUCGUUAUUUAUAUUUUUACCACUGGGAAGGGAUUAACAAUCAUCAAUAUUGAUUACAGAAUAGAAUAUGAGAUUGAGUAUCUAUCAUUGCAUGUAUAAUUGAGAACAUUUAUCUAACUCUUUCAUACAGGGAUAAGUGUCACAUAAAAGAUAUAUGAAAUAAUGAAUAGUGACAAAGAUAAUUAGUCUGAUCAUAACUUAGCCACAUAAUAAAUAUGAUAAGCACCUCAAUUAGAUACUCUAGAAAGUCAUUAGCAUGGUAUUAGAACGAACUACAAGAAUAUUUCCUAAGUUAUUCUCAACUAUAUUGUCUAGCAUUAUCAUAAUUAGUGCAAGCAUACUUAGCAAUCAUUGUGAGACAAGACUACGCCCAUGCAUAGUGAUAUUAGCAAGGUAAAUGAGAAACAUAGCAAUCACUCCCCUGUAAUAAUGUUGCUCUGCCAGCCCAAUACACGAGAGGGGGACUAUAUAAGAAUCAAUGAAGCUGUCACUCAGGAGAUGUGUGACCACUGAAGAAGGAUGGAAGAUCAUCGACAGAUGUCAUUCAUCACCAUAUGGAGGUCACUAUGGAGCAUUCCGUACACAUUCAAAGAUCUAUCAGUGUGGAUUCUACUGGCCUACAAUGUAUGAAGACACGAAGCAAUAUAUCAGAAGAUGUGGGCCAUGUCAAAGACACGGAAACAUAAAUACAAGGGAUGCAAUGCCACUCACCAACAACCUUUAGAUUGAGCUCUUUGAUGUCUGGGAAUAGACUACAUGGGUCCAUUUCCUCCAUCAAAGAAGUGUGAGUACAUCUUGGUGGUGGUUGACAUGUCUCCAAGUGGGUAGAGGCAUUACCUUGCAAGCAUGCCGACAACAUCAGUUCAAAGAGGAUGUUUGAAGAAAUUAUAUUUCUAAGAUUUGGAGUCCCCAGAGUAGUGAUAAGUGAUGGAGGAGCACACUUCAUCGACAAACGCUUCAAGCAAUAUCUAGCAAAACAUGGAAUCCGUCACAACAUCGCUACCCCUUAUCAUCCUCAGACAAGUGGCCAAGCAGAAACUUCCAACAAACAAAUCAAGAAUAUUCUUCAGAAGACAGUAAAUAAAAUGGGAACGGCGUGGAAAGACAAGUUACCCGAUGCACUCUGGGCAUACCGGACAACAUACAAGACCCCAAUCGGAAUGUCUCCAUACUAAUUGGUGUACGGGAAGACUUGCCAUCUACCUGUUGAACUAGAGUUCAAAGCACACUAGGCCGUAAAGAGAUGGAAUAUGGACCUAGAUGUUGCUGGAGAUCAUAGAAGAAUGCAACUAUCAGAAUUGGAAGAAUGGCGAGAAAAAGCAUAUCACAAUCUACAAAGAAAGAGUCAAAAGGUGACAUGACAAGAGAAUCAAGAAGAAGGAGUUCACACCCGGAGAUAAGGUAUUACUUUUUAAUUCCAGGGUAAAGCUUUUCGGGCAUGGGAAACUCUGGAGCAAAUGGGAAGGACCAUUCAAGGUAAUUAAUUCAUCAUCCUACGGAGCUAUCACACUUCAAAAUGACGAAGGUACGUUAUUCAAGGUAAAUGGUCAAUGUCUUAAAUUAUUUUUAGAGCCCAAUAAAGAAUUAGAAGAAAUAGACGUAGUCCACUUUUACCUUCCCAUGGAGAAUUAGAGCCCGACCUUUUUAGUCUGAUGUUUUUGGGUCAUGUAUAUAUUUUUCUAAAUAGUUUUGCAUCUAGAAACGCGCUCGAGAAAGUGGGCUCACAGAGGGGCCAGAGAGAGGGCGGGCGCCCAGCUCAGGUGGGCGGGCGCCCAGCUCCUGUUCCCCCUCGGUCCCGACUUUCUCUAUUAUGGAAAAUGCACUUAUGGUAAUCCGAAUAACCCCUCAGAUGGAAAGUUUCGCACGCACAUCGACGGGAGCAACCCGAACAACCCAUAGAGGCACUCUUUGACCCCUAUAUAUAAACAGACCCCUGACAUCAGUUUUCAAACACCAAGCCACCAAGCCUUCUCUUCUUCUUCAAUUAGAGCUUGAUUAGUUCCUUGCUGCUCCAAUGGCCGAGAAGUACCACGAUGAUUGGGAAGUCGUCCCCUUCAACCUCAACAUGGAGCCUGUGGAAGACCCCGAUGCCCGUGCUCUCGUCCCGGCCAACACAGAGCGACAGCUAGAAGCCAUGCCAUUACGCCAGCGCAGCUCCGCCCAAUCCUACCAUGCUCAACCAGUUCUCACCGCACCGCCACAACCCCUACUCCUUAUGAGAUCAUCAUCCAAGACGAAGACCACUAUCAAGGUGCCAAUCGGCACGAGGAUCCUUCCACCAAGACCCAAUGAGAGGGUCGUUGGAGUCAAGACCAACCGGAGCGGCGAGAUCAGCAGCGUUCGCUACACUACGGAGGAGGAAAGACCUUACUUUGAAGGGAUUAGAGCAGCCAAAGUCCGUUUCAUCCCUCCAAAGGCAGCCCCGAAGCACGCUCUCAAUGCUUUUGAGACACCUCCCAAGCGUCGCAAGACUAUAAUGGAUAUUGAUGAGGACGUUCGCAGACUAGACAGAAUUAUCAUAGACCUCCAGUCCUCGAUUAAUUCCCUCACUAGGCAGCUCUCUAACCACAACACCAUUAUACUAGGCCUUAGGCAGGAUCUUGCUAGUGCCAACAAGAAGAUUAAGGAAUUAGAGCGCCGCUAAGUUAUCUAGAUUAGAACUUGAGGCAAUGCAUCUUAGUUAUUUAUCUUUAAAUUCGGUUUAGGUUUACUAUUAUCAUCAGUUUGCUACUAGUUAUUUGUAGUAAAUGCCUCAAGAUUAAUAAAGAGUAUUAUUAUUAUUAUGUCUUGUGUGUCUCUACUUUAUUUUUGUGCAAGAAAGCAGAAAACAAGUAUGGGGGAGAUCCCUCAACAUGCCAAACACACUCCGACUACACCACUCCACGAUUCAGGUACACACUCUGCACACUUUACUUUACACCUACACAUAUCUUAGACUAUGCAGAAUACUGUUUCCGACAUGAUAAAUUAAAAAGAUUAAAAUAUUUCUAAUCAUGAUUAAUCUCACUCUGUUAUAUUUCCUGAAAACUUGCAAUUAUUAUAAAAUCAUUUUAAAACCUUGUGUUACUUAAGUCAAUAUGGAAUAUGUGAUGGUAGAAUAUGAGUUUCUUAUUCUUGAUAUCAUUGCUACUUGGAGAAUUUAUUUCAAAAUAUUCAAAAUUCUAGCUACCAUCCUCAGUGUUUUAUAUGCCUGAUAAAACUAAAAAUAUUAAUUAUGAUUAUAAAAGCUAUCUACUCUGUAUUGAGUUUGUUCAAAAUGAGUUAGACCCUUGUUGAGAGAUUUAUCAUGCUCCUAAGAUCAAGACAUUUAUUCAGAAAGAUUCACUCUUCCGAAGUAUUAUUGCAUUAGAGGCAUGGGCUAUGCAAAAAUAGAAAUAUUUUGAGGAAAUAAAAAGGAGCAAGUGCUCGACAACCUCGCAGAAAAAAUGGACAAGUGUCCAACAGUAGAAUUAGGGAUACCUCGGUAUCCACUUAAAAAAAAGAAGAAGAAAAAGAGAAAAUGAUAGCCCAUGGUCCCUCUAAUAAGCAAUAUGCCAGCAAGAGUUGACAAAGAUUUUAAUUUCCAAGGUAUUUGAUCUAAGAGUAUGACAUUCCCUUCCUCGGAUCCCGUUUUGAUCAGGCAAUAAAUGCAAAGUAAGUAUGCUUGAGAAUUUUUGCAAAUUAAAACAGCCUCAGUGAGAUAUAUAAAAGAUAAUGAGUGAUCUGAGAGAACCUAUGAGGAUAAAAAGGUAUGCUAACUUUCUUUCAAAAAUAUACAAAAAACUCCAAGUAACAGGAUUGAGAAGAAAGGAUCUUUACUCUUAAUCAUAUACUUCCCUGACUACAGUACACAGUAAAUUUUAAUACCCUACAAAUAUAAAGAAUGUUUUAAAUGAUUACCCCAGAUAUUUUUCUUAACCAUCCUUUUCUCGAGGACGAGUAAAAGCCUAAGUAUGGGGGUAUUUGUUGACGGUUCUUAAGUAUCAAUUUUAAUUAUCAAAUAAACAAGGGAAAGGACCAAUAUGCAACCAACACCGAGAAUUAGGGUUUGAUCUGACAGAAUUCCACGAGUUUUGUUGUUUAUCUAUUUCUGCAGGGGGUUAUCAGGAAAUAAGGAAGAAAGGCCCACAUGUCGGGAUUACAUAGAGAUAUCAACGCACCGCACGAUUUUCUACCAUCUAGAGGACUCCAAAAGCCACGCGAAGAAAACAGAGGCCGAAAGGGGCCAGGCCUAGGGCGCCCGCCCUGGUGACCUGGGCGCCCGCCCCCCUCUGGAAGCCUUUCGGGACUCUCUUCGCACGGGAUAUUCCACCAACCUAUUGGAUCAAGAAAAACAUAGUACCACCUCGCCUACCAACCCAAAAACGCAUAGAGGAGGAGGACUAUAUAAGGAGACCCCCCUGGCCCUUGGAGAAGACAUGAAGAAAUUAUCAUAGAGAUUGAGGGGUGCCCUCGAAGGAAAACCUCUUCGAUAAUUAAUAUUUCUUUUUAGGCUUAGCAACCAAUGUAAAGUAGAAAUAGAUCUUCUAGUUUCUACUAGAUUGAGAGAUAUAGAGUGGAGGUGUAGAUCGGAGGAAGGCCGGCCUGUCAGUGUCUACUCCAAACUUGUACCUCCGGGAUCAAGUUCUCCUAACCCGAAGCUUGCUCCUAGGAUUCUUCAGUAUUUCGACUUCUAAAUUCUAGUAAGUUCUUGUUUUAUUGUUCUUCUAGUUUAUGAGUUUACUUUAAUCUCUUCGCAUAGAGUUUAGAGUAAUCAUUGCUGGCGUAAACGUGGUGUUUAGGCUGGGGUACUCAUAGAUAUUCCUUGACUAGCUGGACCGUGGUAGUAGUGAGGAACGUGACAAUUCCGAGUUACCUUUGCAGACCAUAUCUCGUUAGCAGGAAGGAUAGGGUUUAUAGGUGCAGGUUGAACAUCCUUUGUGGUGUCUAGAUUCCGUUAGCCUCUCCAAUAGAACAGUAGAUCAUCCUUACCAAGGUUAGAAGGAGACUACGGUUGCAGUCUUCUCUAUUUAUCACUCACAUCGAAAGACAUUCUUUGUGCCUAAAGGGUUAGUAGUAAUAGACCGGUUAGUCAGAUGCACUCUUUCUCCUAGUGGUAAAAAAAUAAAUACGAUACUCUGGAUAAUUUCCCGGGUGAAGUGCUCACCGAUAUCCGUACGCUUGCGGAUCAAUUCCUUAUUGCGUUCCCAAAUAUCAACAAUCUGCUUCAACCACCAAGAACUGGAGAAAUGAGGGACGUCGCUCCAGCGGCCGGCCGCCGCCCGUCACACCCCAGCGCGCCUGAGCCGUCCAAUCGAGGAUCAACGCUCUAGAUUAAAACAUACCUUUUCGUUGAAAAACUUCAUUAAGAGUCCCUGCAACUUUUCUAUAUUUACUCCGCAAUCCUUGGCGUUUUGGGCGGUUUGCGCUUCUCAGUUUUGAAAGUGUAAUCUAGACGGCUGGUUUCAAAAUACGCUUUCCAAUAUUCGCAUAUUUGUAUUUUGCUCAUAAUAUAUUCGUUUUAACUCCGUUUUUGUCCAUCCAAAUUUCGUUAGAUUCAUCUUAACGAGCUCUAUAUGUUAGAAUUAUUAUUUCUCUGUUUUGAAACUUUUUAUUUCUGCAGUAGCAUUUAAUUAAUUAUUUUUCUAUAGGAAAUCUUGGAAAAUUCAUAACUUCUACGUUUUAAUUCUGAUUUUCGUGAACUUUACGUUUGUGUGAUCGUAGCGCUGCGUAGAAUAUUUUGAUAAACUUUUAUAUUUGUUUUACCACUGUUUGGUGUAUUGUUCUAAUUAUAGCUUGUUUGCUUCGUGUAUGAUUGUCUACAUUGGAUUGUGUGUGUGAUCGAUGAUCGAGUUUAGACGGAGAGCAGUUUUUGGUGAUCAAGAUCAAAGCUUUGGCAAUAAGCAAGACUAGUAGAACCAAGAGGAUCAGCAAGAGCAAUUGGAUUAAGGCAAGUAUAGCAUUUGGGUUUUAAUUCUAUGACCAUGAUCGUGUGAUUAGAUUAAUGUUAAGUAAUAAAUGAUAAAAAUGACUUUUUAGCCACUUGAUGAUUUAUCUGUAAGUGAUAACCGGGACAACAGUGCAACCAUGAGGGCUAUAAUGGCUCUGGCUUUAGCUCAGUAUGAAGCCCAUUUCUAGCUUGUUAGAGGUUACCCGAAAGGGCGGAGGGGUUGAACUGUUUUGGGUAUAGUGUGGCCUCUGUCUGUAUGUGUAUAGGCUGCGCGUCAUUGUGCCAUCGAAAGGAGGGUUCUAUAUCUACGCGCAAAGGAAACCUUGCGGCUCUAACAGGUUAGAUGGACUUUUAAAAGGCUUCAUAGUGAUCCCUGCCGACCUUCCUUGGAAGUGGGUUAAGAGGCUGAUCACCUCGGGCGAAAGGGUAAAUCAUGACUCAUGGGUAAAGAUGUACAACCUCUGUAGAGUGUUAAAAACUGGUAUAUUAGCCGUGCUCACGGUCAAGAGCGGCCUUGGGGAUUCUUGCAUCGACGAUGAUGAUUUUUGUGUAUUAAAUAUGCCCAUUAUUAUUAUUUAAUGCUCUACAUUAUUUAUGUCACAUUGAUCAUGAGACUGUGGGAUCUAUACAAUCUUGUUGCUAUACUUAUGGAGUUCGACAUGGACUCACUCUUGCUAUUACCCCCACACUUCAGGAGAUGGUUUAGGCUUGUGAUCAACCAGUCAGUUGGAUCCUGUUGAGAGAAGUUAAUACCCAAAGUUGGAGUUGUCUAUCCGCUGUUUGCUAUCAAAGGUUAUCCCUUUUAUACUAAGUACGUUAUAUUUAUGCAUUGUUUUUUUUAUAUUACCUCUUAUUUAUAGUUAUAUGUGAGAUUUGACUUCUAAAACUCACAUAUGGUGCAUGUCUGGUUUUGAUCUUAAAAUCGGGUAUAACAUAUAGUUACUGUGUACAUGUAACACAUACACAGAACUCUUCCAAUACUUUCUUAUCAGUUGAUACCCCAGUUAUGGUAGUCCUCUUGAAAUCUUCCCAUGUUAGCACUGGCUUCUUCCUAUUUGGUGUAUCAACAAAGUCAGGAUAUGUGGGGGUAUAAACCCCUAUACCCUUACGGCAUGACUUGGGCCAGGAGGCUUGGCCCAUUACGAGACAAGUUCGAGGCUUGAUCCGACUGCUCGGAGUUUCGCGCAAGGAAACAGGACGUGGAGAUCAAACAUGAUUCUAGUCGGUUAGAAUAGGAAUUGAUAUCGUAGUAUCUAUGGCAAUUGUAACUGACUAGGAUUAGUUUCCAGAUCUGUAACCCUGCCCUCUGGACUAUAUAAGGAGAGGCAAGGGACCCCCAUAGGACACAUUAUUCUCUCGACACAAAUCAAUACAACAAGACGCAGGACGUAGGUAUUACGCCCACACGACGGCCGAACCUGGAUAAAGACCUUGUCUGUGUCUUGCGUCACCAUCAAGUUCGUAGCUUGCGCACCGUCUACCGAUAAACUACUACCGUGGGUAUACCCCAAGGUAGACUGCCGACUUGCUUUCGUCGACAGUGGCGCGCCAGGUAGGGGGUGUGCGUACAGCUCUCCCGACGAACAAGAUGGUCAUCGUUCCAGCUUCCGCGGCCGUGCCCGAAGGCCUCACGCUCACCGUCGGCCAGAUCACGUGGACGACUCGUGGCGACGGCCUCACGACCACGACUUCAGAAGAAACCCAGAUCCAAUCUGGGGCGACAACGGCGUCGACUCCGAUCACGCCGACACCGACCACUCGACCACUGCUCCCUCGCUACAGGGGAAAGAAGGUCGACAGCUCAGAUCUUUUCCGAGCCCUUGAUCGCCUCGAUCUCAGGCUCCUCGAAGCUUCCCGACUGAUAGAUGGGAUCUCGUGCCAGUCUAAUCGAAUCGUGUCAAUAGAUUUUUUUGACUCCUGCCAGCCAACUCGUGUCAUCACGCACGAACAGCUGGAGACGUCUCUGGCGAUAACAUCCACCCCCGCAGGGCGGUCCGUCAAGCUUAGGGCGGACCCGGAUCAGAGUCCUCCUUACGGGCUAAACAACUCAGCCGUUUACUACUCACGGCACAUCCAAUCCCUUUUCAACAGGGCGGGUUGGGUGCCAAAAUGGAACAGUCGACCGGCUCGUCACUACGUCAACAUGGUGACAAUCCGAGAACUACCAAACGACCAGGCUUCCAGCACAAACUCCAGCACUGGAUCCGUCCCCACCGAGGUUAUAAACUCUGAGGACGAAGAUUACGACCUGGAAUUACCACAGUACCCUCCGGGUUUCUCUCGCUUCCCGGUCUUUCCGCCCCGGCGGGGAGAUCUCGUCUUCAAUGUCAGCAACGACGAACCGGUUGUCGAUGGAGAGAUAGACGAUCAGAGGCACUCCGUGAACAGCGCAAUGCCGACCGUGCUCGGCGACGUGCGGACGAGGAGCGACAACUCCCGCCGCAUAACCUUGGUGACGCUUUCGACAUGGUCGGAGAUCAACAAGUCUACAAAACGCCAAGUGCUAACGUGGCUGUUGCUAUGGCAAACCUAGACCGACUCCCUGAUACCCACGAGUGCCAGGGCGUCCGAUCCAGCGUACGCGCGCAUCUGAUCGUCGUGAUGGGACAGACAGCAACCUUACUCAAAAGGGUCCAAGCUAUCUCCUACACAGAGGUCUCCUCCGACCAGACUCAUCGUAGUCGGACCUCACCACAACCCAGCGAGCACCACCGCAGCCGCUCCCCCAAUAAUCGUCGGAAGAAUUCACGGCGUGGCAACGGUGGUUGGGCCGCCGGCGGCAACCGCGAGCAGAACCGCGGGCGUGGUCAGGAGGUAAACCAGGACAGGGAUCUACGAUACAAUAUCCCUCCCAAAGACGCCCGGGACCACAUCAACAGGCGCGCUACGGAAAGAGCGGUGCACGAGAACCUGCGGCAUAUUGAGUACGACGCCACGCACGGUCCUCCCGGCCUGAGACAGUUUUCCUCACACCUUCGCCAAGUCGUAUGGCCCCGCAACUUCAAACUCGAGAAGCUCAAAAAAUACGACGGCAAGGAAAACCUAGAAAACUUGAUCACUCUCUAUGAGAUUGCAGUCCGUCCAGCAGCAGACAAUGAGCACGUCAUGGCCAACUACUUCCUAGUCGUCCUCGACCAGGCUGGUCAUCAGUGGCUCCUGGGCCUGCCCGAGGACUCCUUCGAUUCCUGGGAAGAAUUGCGCCAAGCAUUUAUUGACAAUUUUAUCUCUACCUGCGAGCAGCCCGAGAACAAAUACGACCUCGAGAGAAUAAGGGACAGGAAAAACGAGCCUUUGCGCAAUUACAUCCGACGAUUCUCAGAUAUGCGCCUUAAAAUCCCGAAAAUCUCUCACGACGAGGCCAUAUCCGCCUUCAUCAAAGGACUACGCUUCCACGAGGCACUAAGAAACAAGCUACUGUGCAGAAGGCCAACCACGGUGGCUGAGCUCCUUGCCACAGCAAAAAACUAUGCCGACGCCGACGACGCAGAAAAACUCAUCCGAGAGGAUGCUAGAGGUCCCGACCAGCCUCCUCGACGGGACGACAGUCGUGGUCGUUUCGAUAACAGAAACCACCGUCGCCCCGACAACCGCGACCAAAGAGAAGGUUGGGAUAGGCAGCGUGAUAAUCAUGAUGAUUUCAGGAGCAAGCGCCCUCGAGACCACGACCACGAGGUGAAUAUAGUCAAACGCCCCAACGGACAGCGGGACUACCAGGAAGAUUACAACAAGACGUUGAAGGGACCGUGCCAACUCCACCCCAAGUCUAACCACACGAUGGAAGAAUGUCGUGUCCUCAAAAGCAUCUACACGCGGCGGGCCGCUCAAGAUGAUUCCGCCAAGAAAAACGGAAAGCAGGACGGGCGCGAUCACGAAGACGAAGACGAGGACCUGGAUAGGGACCCACGACACCAGUAUGUCAACCCUACCGACGUGGUCCACUCUAUCUUCGGAGGCAAAGUUUCCAUCGAAUCCAAGCACGAAAGAAAGCUCCUAAAGAGAGCCUACCUCAAUGUGGACAGCACAGACGGUUUGAUCGCCGAUCCGAAAUUUCCUUCCUGGUCGCAUAGGGAGAUCUCCUUUAGCAGGAAGGAUCAGUGGGCCGCCAUCCCGGAGCCAGGACGUUUCCCUCUGAUCCUGGAUCCUUGCAUCAACAGCAUCAGAUCCAAGCGCGUCCUUGUCGACGGGGGAAGCUCCAUUGACAUCCUCUUUUGCAACAGUUUGCCUGCUCUCAAGAUAACCCCAGCACAACUAAAGCCAUAUGACGCACAAUUCUGGGGAGUCCUGCCAGGUCAAAGUUGAGUACCCCUCGGACAGAUAACGCUGCCUAUCCAGUUCGGAACGCGCGACCACUUCCGAACAGAGUUCGUCAACUUCGUGGUCGCCGACUUUGACAGAACUUAUCAUGCCAUCUUGGGCCGACCAUCGCUGACAAAGUUCAUGGCCGUUCCGCACUAUUCAUACCUGGUCCUUAAAAUGCCAACAGAGAAAGGCGUCCUAACUGUCAGAGGCAACGUUUAUACCGCAUACACUUGCGAGGAGGAAAGUUUCAAGAUCACUGAGGAGCGCUCUUCAGGUUUCUCAGGGACAAUGUAAGCGUUUUCACGUGGAAACCCGCGGACAUGCCCGGCGUCCCGCGAAACCUGAUCGAGCACUCCUUAAACGUCUCGAAGACCACAAGAUCUAUCAAGCAGAAACUACGACGGUUCGCUCGUGACAAAAAGGAGGCUAUUAGGACAGAAAUAACUCGGCUUCUAGCAGCCGGAUUCAUUAAAGAAGUGUAUCAUCCCGAUUGGAUCGCCAAUCCGGUUCUUGUACGAAAAAAGAAUAAUGAAUGGAGAAUGUGUGUUGAUUACACUGAUCUCAAUAAGCACUGUCCUAAAGAUCCUUUUGGUCUCCCUCGCAUCGACGAGGUGGUCGACUCAACGGCCGGAUGCGAACUCCUCUCUUUUCUAGACUGCUACUCUGGUUAUCACCAGAUCUCGCUAAAGGAAGAUGACCAGAUCAAAACAUCUUUUAUCACUCCUUUCGGCGCGUAUUGCUACACGACCAUGUCCUUCGGACUCAAAAACGCUGGAGCCACCUAUCAACGGGCCAUUCAGCAAUGCCUCCACGACGAGAUUCGUGAUGACCUCGUCGAGGCUUAUGUAGAUGACGUCGUCGUCAAAACAAAGGACGCGAGCACUCUAAUCGAUAACCUAGACCGAACUUUCAAGGCACUAAAUAAAUACAAGUGGAAGCUUAACCCCAAGAAAUGUAUCUUCGGGGUCCCCUCUGGUCUACUGCUCGGCAACGUCGUUAGCCGCGACGGCAUACGGCCGAAUCCCUCAAAAGUAAAAGUAGUGCUCGAUAUGCGACCACCCAAGAAUGUCAAGGACAUUCAAAAGCUCACCUGAUGUAUGGCUGCUCUCAGCCGUUUUAUCUCUAGACUGGGAGAAAAAGGCCUCCCCUUCUUCAAGCUCCUAAAGGCAUUAGAAAAAUUCUCCUAGACAGAGGAAGCUGACGCUGCGUUCACCCAGCUCAAAACCUUUCUCACUUCGCCACCCAUUCUCACAACGCCUCAACCCAAUGAGGACCUACUCCUUUACAUAGCAGCAACCGACAGGGUUGUCUCCACGGCAAUGGUGGUCGAGCAGGACGAGCCAGGCCAUGUAUACAAAGUUCAGAGACCAGUUUACUUCAUAAGUGAAGUCUUAAACGAGUCCAAGACCAGGUACCCUCAGAUACAAAAGCUCAUCUACGCCAUCUUAAUAACUUCAAGGAAGCUGAAGCAUUACUUCGAUGGUCAUUGGGUCUUGGUAACCACUAGUUUCCCCCUGGGGGACAUUCUACGCAACAAGGACGCCAAUGGCAGAAUUGUAAAAUGGGCAAUGGAACUAUGCCCAUUCUCCUUGGAUUUCCAGAGCCGCACUACCGUCAAAUCCCAAGCCUUGGUCGAUUUCAUCGCAGAAUGGACGGACCUCAACGAGCCUCCCUUCUCUGAUACUUCCAACCAGUGGUCAAUGUUCUUCGACGGGACCUUAAACAUCAAUGGUGCCGGCGCUGGAAUACUCUUCGUGACACCCAACAAGGACAAACUACGCUACGUCCUUAGGAUUCUCUUUCCGGCAUCAAAUAACGUCGCUGAAUACGAAGCAUGCCUUCACGGCAUUUGACUGGCUGUCGAACUGGGAGUCAAACGCCUCUACGUUCACGGCGACUCUGCCCUAGUCAUUAACCAGCUCAACAAAGAAUGGUACGCAACGCACGAAAAGAUGGACCUCUACUGCAAAGAAAUUUGCAAAUGGGAGUCCAAUUUCUACGGCAUAGAAUACAUCCACGUGGUCCGGGAUAGGAACCAGGCAGCGGAUGCGCUGUCAAAGAUAGGAUCAUCUCGGGCCAAGAUCCCACAAGGCGUUUUCGUUCAGGACAUCCACGUGCCAAGUGUGGGCACAGACCCGGUCGAAAAACAACCCAAUGAGACAAUGAUCAUAGACGACUCCGCUCCGGCAACCAGCAGCCAUGAUUGGCGCGCCCCUUUCAUCAGGUACAUAUCGGACGGAUCCGGUCUCCAAGAUAAAACGGAAAACGAGCGUCUCAUCCGGUGAUCCAAGAACUACAUACUAGUGGAUGGAAAGCUUAUGCGAAAAAAUGUAAGCUCCAAAGUACUGCUCAAAUGCAUAUCCCAAGGUGAUGGCAUCAAGCUUUUAGAUGACAUACACGCCAGAUCCUAUGGCAACCAUGCCGCCUCCAGAACACUCGUCGGGAAGGCUUUCCGAGCAGGCUUUUACUGGCCAACUGCGGUCGCCGACGCCGAGAAACUGGUCCGACAUUGUGAAGGAUGCCAGUUCUUUGCCAAGAGGACUCACGUGCCUGCUCAUGAGAUUCAAACUAUCCCGUCAUCCUGGCCUUUCGCCUGUUGGGGCCUGGACAUGAUCGGGCCAUUCAAGCCGGCCCCCGGUAACUUCAAGUUCGUCUUCGUGUUAAUCGACAAAUUCUCGAAGUGGAUCGAGUACAUGCCACUGGUCAAAGCAACCUCCGAGAAGGCUGUGGAAUUCCUCAACCAAAUCAUACACAGAUAUGGGGUUCCCAACAGCAUAAUAACCGACCUGGGCACUCAGUUCACUGGCACUACAUUUUGGGACUUCUGCGAUGACAGGGGCAUAGUCGUAAAGUAUGUGUCAGUAGCUCACCCACGGGGCAACGGUCAAGUAGAGCGAGCAAAUGGAAUGAUUAUUGAUGCUUUGAAGAAAAGGCUGUACACAGAGAACGACAGAGCACCAGGACGUUGGAUGAAAGAGUUAUCGGCCGUGGUCUGGGGCCUCCGAACACAGGCUAGUCGCAACACGGGCGUGUCACCCUACUUCAUGGUUUACGGCACCGAGGCAAUGCUUCCGUCGGACGUAACUUUUGGAUCUCCAAGAGUCGAAAACUUCGACCAGCCUUCGGCUGACAUCGCCAGGGAGCUUGAAAUCAACUGCAUGGAAGAAAAGCGCCUACUCUCGUGCCUUCGAAAAGCAAAAUAUCUCGAAGCCAUUAGGAGGUAUCACAACAGGAACGUCAAAGACCGUUCCUUCGUGGUCGGUGAUCUUGUGCUAAAGUGGAAAACAAGCCAAGAAGGAACGCACAAGUUAUCCACACCUUGGGAAUGACCCUUUGUGGUCGUAGAAGUCACGCGCCCUACAUCUUAUAGACUGGCGUACCCAGACGGAACACGCCUGCCUAACUCUUGGCACAUAAACAACCUGCGGCGUUUUUACCCAUAAGUUCCAGUACAUUUUAUUUGUAAAUCUCUUAUGGUCAGCGUUAAUAAAUUUUCUCUUUCUUCCUAUGUACUUCUUUUAUAUGCAGAGCUUUCGACAAAGUGCAACAACCAUCUUUAGGAUGAAAGUCCUUAAGAGUUAUUAACCCAACUCAGUGAUACAUCACUCAGACAAUAUUACAGCGCUCAAAACCAUGGUCAUGACAAAUCAAACUUUAUUACAAACUUUAUGUACAGAGUUUACAAUAAACACCCCUCUGGGCGGUCCCUAGUCUAUUUCUACAGACUACUCUACAGGCCUACUGCUCGGGAUGAUCACCCGCUCGGCCUUGUUGCCCGGUCGAAGGGGUCGGGGCCACCGGCGCCUGGCUGGUCGAGACCGCAGGCGUCGACCGCCCAUCUCCGACAAUGGGCGCUCCCGACAACUCCCUGGCCGAUCUAUCUGACCCGGGCUGGUCAGGGGGAGUUGCCGUCCCGCAGAGGUUGAUGUCGCCGAUCACCGUCAACGACAGGUCAAGCAGACCAGCACGAAGGUUGUCUGCCUCCUGCGGACCAACCUCCUUGGGGUACCCCCCUUUCCAGUCGUGACAGGUCGACCAGGGGAUAGUGGGCGCGCACCAUGCUAAGGACAUGCGCACCAGCGAAUUCCCCGGCGUCCUUCUCGACUGGCGUCAGCUUCGGCGCACGGGGCUGGUCUUCAGGGAGCUCGGGGCUGAUCAAAUCAAGAACCGGGGCCACUCCUUUCAAAAGCUUGAUGCAGUUGGCCUUCCAGGAGUCCCGGUCCUUGAUCAGCUCGUCAAAGUGCUUCUUCGCAUUCACUUUGAGCACUACAAACCAAGUAGGAGGUCAGUUUACGAAUAAGAAAAGGAACGUCGAGCAAUCAAGGAAAAAAGGGAUCGCACGGCUCUCACCAGACAACUCCCUAUUCUUGUUGCUUAGCUCCUUGCCAGCUCGGCGCCCGGUCUCCAGCGCCCUGGCAAGCUCCUGGUCGAGCCGCUCCUUCACUUGUCGGAGGUGUGCAAUCUCCUCCUCCAAGUCUGCAGGGGCAAUUUCUGGUCAAUAAAAAACGACUACACAGUUAUAUACAACUGCUCGGAAUACAUGACUAACCUCUUCUCUCCCGAUCCUUGUCGGCUAAUCGCCGAUUAAGGUCGAGCAGGCGCUCUUCCUGAGCACCCAUCUCGUCCGUCUUCUCCUCGGCCUCCGACCGAAGCCGGUCCACCUUCGUGGACAGGGCCUUGUUCUCGGCCACGAUGCCCUCAAUCUGGUCAAAGCACCUUUUCCGGUACUUCGCCGUUUUCAUUGCGCCCUGCAAGAAGAAUACUUAGUGAAUCCAGAAACAAUGCAUAUAAACUUUGAGCAGCACAAAAGACUACUUACCUUAACCUCGUCCACAAGCCACUUCGCUGCGCGCUCCACCCUCGUGGCCUCCUCCGUCUCCGCGAGUUCCUCAUGACCGAUGAAGUGGUCCCCGCGUUGGCGCCACACGUACACGUGCUGGCGGCCAUCUUGGGGACGACCUUGGAUCUCCUCCACUUCAUCGUCGGAGGCCGUCCGGGCUUCCUCGCCCUCCGCACUACCCCCGGCCAUGGUCGCAGGUAUCACUGGACCCUGAUCCAGGCCAGGGGAGCCUACUGGUGAAGAGGCCCCUGCUCGAGGCGGGGUUGGGACUCUCCCUUCUUCCGCCAGCUCUGCCAUUUUCCUCUGCAACGUUGCUUGGGGGAGGCGUCCUCGCAGCCUCUCCAUCCCUUGUAGGGGUGCCCGCUCUGGCCCUUGCCAGCGCCGGAUGCUCCUCGGCACUCUCAGCCGCGGUCGUCGUCGCGGGCUGCUCCUCGGCAUGCUCCUGGGUGGUCUGUGGCACGGCGUCUCCAACGACAGCUAUGGGCUCGGCCGUCCUCUGGCCAGCGAUGUGGUCAGGGUCAACGUCCGAUGCCGCGCUAACAAAAUAUGACAUUUAACCAAUGUCAAAAGCAGCAAUAACAAAAACAAGAUGAAGCGUAAAAGUGAGAUUGAGCAACUUACAGAUCGGAGCGCCUGUGCGUUGCGGUGAAGAACCUUCUCCUGGUCCUACCAGCCGCCGCCGCUGCUCCUGUCUCUCCAACACGCGUCGGCUUGGUGUGUGGGGCAGGUGGGUCGCUAGUCAUUCGACCAGCAGUGGCCGGCGCAAGGUCCGGAUGACUACGCGGCCUUCGAACCAAAGAUGGUGCCGCCUCCUCCUCCUCGUCGUCGCCGGUGAUCCUGACGAGCCGACGACGUUUCGGCGCUUGGCUGCUCUCUGCCGGCAGCGCCUCUGCAGGGGGCGGAUCCACUGCUAGUGGCCUUUUCCCCGCUACCCUAUCCUCGGUGGUUGGGGCGGGACGGUUCUGCUCCUCCUCGCUGCUGGUGUAUUGAUGACACCGAGCAGCGUCGUCCUCUAGCAGGUCCACCCCCGCAGGAUUCUCCAUACCAGGCGCCAGUGAUAUGUACACUGCGCACCGAUCAAUGUCUCCAAUCUGCAGUAGAACCAUCGACAAGUCAUAAACUAGGCGGACGAGUACUCAAAAAGCAAUACUAGUCAAUAACACUAUUUAUUUACCUUAGGAGCUGGUCGCCCCAGCUUGAAGGCGUGCACCCGAUCACUACUUCGAACGAAGUUGUCAUCCGUAAAGUUGAACAACUCGUUCAUCAGCUGUUGCACCUCCGUCUUCUCCAGACCGUCGGGGCUCAUCUUGGUCGGGUCCAGGCUCCCCGCGUACUCGUACGCCGAGUGUACCCUCCUCUGGCAGGGCAUCACCCGACGUACAAUAAAGUUCCCGACCACCCCUGGCCCGUCUAAACGGGACCAGUCGAUCAGCUUCAUUAGGUCUGCCACUUGACCGGAGAAGUCUGGGCGGUCUGUCCAGCUGACCCUCUUCUCGAGGAUGUAGCCCACGUCGCAGAACGUGGUGCUACCCGGCUCUUCCCUGAUAUAGAAUCACUUCUUGUACCACUCGGUAAGAGAAGUGUUCCACGGGCAGUUGAGGUACCGGUUCUUCAUUCCAUCACGCAGAUUGAGGUAUACUCCACCUGCAAUCUUGGAGCCUCCAACUGCUCCCUUCUUCCUCAGACAAAACAGAUAACGAAAAAGAUCGAAGUGCGACUCUAUCCCAACAUAGGCCUCGCACAAAUGAAUAAAGGUGGAGAUAAGAAGAAUUGAGUUCGGGUGCAGAUUGCAGAUCCCGAUCUCAUAGUAAAGAAGAAGGCCCUGGAGGAAAGGCUGGACAGGAAUCCCAAAGCCCCUUUUGAUAAAAUCUUCAAAAACCACGAUCUCACCGGCACGAGGGUCGGGGUAGCUUUCCCCUUCCGGCGCCCUCCAGGCACCGAGCUCCUGGUUGUGGAGUAGCCCCAUUCCGACGAGGUCGUUAAGGGACCUCGUGCUGCUCCGGGACUUCUUCCACUCUUUCGCCAUCAGCUCGGCCCUUUUCUUGUUGUCACUCUUCGCCAUUGAUACUGCGGGAAUGACUGUGAGCUGGGAGAACUGGUGGUGGUUGCAGAAGACAGGAAUGGCAAGAAUGGAAAGCUCGAAGGCAAAGGCAGGGUAAAGAUUAUGGGUGUAAUGUCAGGCUUUUAUAAGCAACAGCUCCACCUCUUCCACUUCCCGCAUUCUUGGGAAGUGGGCGGGCCCAGCGGCGGAUGCAGCGUUUCGGUUCUCAACAAUUACCGGCAGUUAAUACGGCGGCUUUUUUGUAUAAUUGAUGGUUUCCUUUUCUUGAACCGCGCCAAGAGCGGCUGCACAGUUACCAGGCGCACCUUUUCACGCAGCCAUCUGACAAUAUGCCAGGAUGCUUCGUCACAUCACACAUUAAUGUGGCAAGAUGCUUUUUUCAAAAUAACAGGCAGAAUUGGUGGAGGACUGACAUUCCUGGGGACUGUACCGACCACCGAGCACUAUACGCUCGGGGACUGGUCGACAAGUCUGCUAGUUUGGAGACCUGGGGGCUGCACCGACCACCGAGCACUAUAUGCCCAGGGACUGGUCGACCAGUCUGCCAGUUUGGAGACUUGGGGACUGCACCGACCAAUCUGAGCACUAUACACUCAGGGACUGGUCGACCAAGCCUACAAGAUGAAAAUUCGGGGACUGUACCGAUCACCGAGCGUUAUAUGCUCGGGGACUGAUCGAUUAGUCUAUACAAUUGCAGACGAGCAUGAUAUGCUCGGGGAAUGGUAAAUUAAAUUUUUAGACCAUGCUACAAGGCUCAUACUUCGCCUUCCAGCAAGCUCGGGGACUACAUCGGUACGAUGCAUCUGGCGAUGCAUCUCAGUUUUAGAAUUUCUAUGAAGACUUUUUUGACCCUGGCACCACGUGCCUACGUCACCUACUACCAGGCUCAGGGACUAAGUGGGCACACUUCACCUUGCGGUGAACAUGCUUGCUUUUUGAAAGUCUCUACUUUUCAGAAAAGUAAAGUAGGCACACUUCACCAGGAAAGAAAUCUUUUUUGAUUAAAGAGCACCAUGCAUUCUUCGAACAACCUACUUCUUCGAUGUCAAUGUUGAUCAAUUGUCUUUUGAGUUGGUCAAGAUACAAUUGCAACUGUUUGGGCGACUUUCCUGCUUAUUGAAGAUGUCAAGCCUUACUGGUCGAAGAAGCUCAAGACGACGUGUUACAUCACAAUACAUGGUGCUCGGGGACUAGCUGUGGGGGUAUAAACCCCUAUACCCAUACGGCAAGACUUGGGCCAGGAGGCUUGGCCCAUUACGAGACAAGUUCGAGGCUUGAUCCGACUGCUCGGAGUUUCGCGCAAGGAAACAGGACGUGGAGAUCAAGCAGGAUUCUAGUCGGUUAGAAUAGGAAUUGAUAUCGUACUAUCUAUGGCAAUUGUAACCGACUAUGAUUAGUUUCUAGAUCUGUAACCCUGCUCUCUGGACUAUAUAAGGAGAGGCAAGGGACCCCCCUAGGACACAUUAUUCUCUUGACACAAAUCAAUACAACAAGACGCAGGACGUAGGUAUUACACCCACACGGCGGCUGAACCUGGAUAAAAACCUUGUCUGUGUCUUGCGUCACCAUCAAGUUCGUAGCUUGCGCACCGUCUACCGAUAAACUACUACCGUGGGUAUACCCCAAGGUAGACUGCCGACUAGCUUUCGUCGACAGGAUACAUCUCGCGAACUAGAGCACCAAUUACAGUUGGGGGUUUGCGAGAAGUUCGAUAAGGAUGCACUUCCCAGUUCCUGAUAAUUUUACAUAAAACAAAUGACAUCAUCAUAUAGGUAUAAAAGAUAUAUGAUACAUAAAUGAAAUGUUAAAGAAAAAACUCAUGGAACCGGCCAUUACUGAAUACACCCAGCCUACAGAAGAUGUGGAAUGUUAAAAAUACAACAUAUUUUUUUUAGUCUUUGCAAACUUUUUAAAUAACUAUGCUGGUGCAUACAACUAUCUAUAAGUAGGCUACUAAACUAAUGACAAGACAUUUUGUUCUCCAUCAUGGAUAAGCUGUCCUUGCUAAAAUUUAAUCUAAACAAUGAGCACUUGAUUAAAUUGCCAUUACAUCAGCACUUAGAAAAAAAUAGGACAUGCUACAUGCUAAACACUAAACAGUUCUGGAAGUCUUUUACUUACUCUCCAGCAGCCUUGAUUGUGGGUCUUUCACUUUCUGGAAGUCUUUCACCACUAUCAGUCCUUGAUCGAGUUUAUAUGUCGAGCUCUGAAGUCUCUACAAAAUUCUAGCCAUGUGACAGGAGGAGCAUUGUUGGGAAGAGCAGCUUGAUAUGACUCCCACCAUGUCUGAGCUGCCCCCUGAAGCUGUCCAGAAGCAUACAACACCUUCUCCAAGUCAUUGCACUGGGCUAUGUUCAGUUGCCUCUCCACAGCACGUAACCAAUCAUCUGCCUCCAUGGGAUCAGCUGAGUGUGUGAAUACCGGAGAUCUUCCAUUCAUAAACUCCCCACGCUUAUCCCUCACAUGAACAGGUGGUGGUGUUGGUGGAGGUUGCUGCUGUAGGUGCUGAAAGAAAACGUGCAUCAUCUCAUUUUGGGUUUGCAUGAGUUCCUCCACAGUGAUUGGGGCAUUGCCACCAUUGCCAUGGCCUCUGCCCCUGCCUCUUCCCCUUGCUGCCAUCUGCAUUCCAAGGUAUAUAAACACAUCUUAGUAAUGCCCAACAUGACAAUUACAAGAGUUAACGGAAUCUGAAAUUUUCUGGGUAACAUCCAACAUCAGUAGAUCAGAAAAUCAAUCAUAUCUCGAGUUCCAGAAUAUCAAAGGAUACAUGCUGUAAACCGUUGGAAAGAUAAAGAAAUUGUCUACAACUUUCAUUUAGAUCAUAUUAACAGAUUCCAAAGCUGGUUUAAUCAAAAACUGGGUACAACCGAAACUGUUCCAGAAUUCCAGACUGCGCAGAAACUUCAAAUUUAAACAGCCAUAACUCACAGCUCAUAACAGAUAAUCAUGACAUUCUUGUGGCAUUGGAAAUAUGGGAAAGUCUACUUGUUCCCAGAAAACAUUGAUGAACAUUACACGAACAUAAUUUGAUUUAUACCAGAAUCAUUGCAGACUGCUCCAGAAAACAGCAAAGGACAGAAACAGGAUAUGACCCCAAACCACUAUUUAUUCAUGUUCUUACUAAAGGUUCUUAACUAGGGAACUUGUGGAUAUACCCACAAGGUUCCAGCACUCAUUACAAAAAUUCAAAUCAAGCAUAAGCAUAAUAACAAACCAAACCAAGCAUUAAAAGUUCACACUUCAAGCAUUGACUCAACUUGCGGUACUAACGUUCUCUUCCUAUUAAGGGUGAAGAUCCUAUAACUCCUAUUUCAAUGACGUUAGAAGGUGGUAAGAAAAGUUCUAAAAGCAUAUUCAAAUCAAGGAGUGGGGAUGAGAACAAGUCUUUAAAAUAAGCAACAAGGUGAAUAUGAAUAGCAAUGGGAAGGAUAUAGUAUUGAGGAAAAAUAUCAAGGUUUAUAGAACAAGGACUUUAUAGUAAUUUCAAGACCUUAAGACGGCCAAUUUCUAACUAGGCUUGCGUCCGAAAGUCAACAAAGCUUUGAUACCAAUUUGUCACACCCAUAUUUUAAGAACAAAAUAGGAUAUAUAAAAGACUCAUAUGUGCCCCAGAAACAGUCGCACACAUAAGUAGACAAAUCUCAAAUGUAUCAUUGCAGUGUUUAUUACAUAGUGGAACAUUAAUAAAUCACAUAGUGUUACACAAAAAUAAUAUGAGAUAAACAACGCUCUCGACGGAAGCUCCACACAGGGACACUGUUGACUGGUUGACUCCAAACCUAAUACUCAUAGUGAUAGUCCUCAUUCCAAUCAUCAUCAUUAGCAUAACCUGGGGUGUUGGGAAAUUACAAGAGUGAGGACAUAUCGUACUCAACAAGUAUAACCAGGGGUUCAUGAGGCUCAAAUAGCUGACACAGGUUUGACUGCAUUUAGCUUUUAAUAGUGGAUAGCAUGUGUUGAUAUUUGGUAACGCAAUUAGAAAAUAAUCCGCAAGCGCACGGAUAUCGGUGAGCAUUUCACCCGGGAGGUUAUCCAGAGUUAUCGUAUUUAUAUUUUUACCACUGGGAGAAAGGGUGCAUCUGACUAACCAAAUCUAUUGCUACUAUCCCUUUAGGCUACAAAGAAUGUCUCUCGAUGUGAGUGAUGUAUAGAGAAGACUGCAACUGUAGUCUUGUUCUAACCUUAAUAAGGAUGAUCUACUGUUCUAUUGGGGAGGCUCACGGAAUCUAGACAACACAAAGGAUGUUCGACCCGCACCUAUAAACCUACCCGUCCUGCUAACGAGAUGUGAUCUGCAAAGGUAACUCGGAAAUGUCACGUUCCUCGCUACUACCACGGUCCAGCUAGUAAGGGGAUAUCUAUGAGUACCCUAACCUAAACACCACGUUUACGCUAACAAGUGAUUACUCUAAUACUCAACCGGAAGAGGAUUAAAGUAAACUCAUAAACCAAAGAACAAUAAAACAAGAACUUACUAGUAUUAGAAGUCGAAUUACUGAAGAAUCUUAGAAGCAAGCCUCGGGUUAGGAGACUUGAUCCCACAGGUACAACUCGGAGUAGACACCGACAGGCCGGCCUUCCUCCGAUCCACACCUCCACUCUAUCUCUCUCAAUCUAGUAGAAACUAGAAGAUCUAUUUCUACUUACAUUGGUUGCUAAGCCUAAAAAGAAAUAUUAUUUAGAGAAGAGGUUUUCCUUCGAGGGCACCCCUCAAUCUCUAUGAUAAUUUCUUGUCUCCUCCAGGGGCCAGAGGGGGUCUCCUUAUAUAGUCCUCCCCUUCUAUGCGUUUUUGGGUCGAUAGGCGAGGUGGUACUAUGUUAUUCUGGAUCCAAUAGGUCGGUGGAACGUCGUGUGCGAAGAGAGUCCGGAACGGAGUCCAGAGGGGGGCGGGCGCCCUGGGCCUGGCCCCUUUCGGGCUCCGCUUCCUUCCCGUGGCUUCUGGAAUCUUCUAGAUGGUAGAAAAUUGCGCGGUGGGUUGAUAUCUCUAUGUAAUCCCGACAUGUGGGCCUUUCUUCCUUAUUUCCUGAUAACCCCCUGCAGAAAUAGACAAACACCAAAACUCGUGGAAUUCUGUCAGAUAAAACCCUAAGUCUAGAUGUUGAUUUCAUUUGGAUCCUUUUCUUUGUUUAUUUGAUAAUUAAAUUUGAUACUUAAGGACCGUCAACAAACUCCCCAAAGCUUACCUCUUGCUCGUCCCUGAGCAAGGAUGAACUCAAGAGUUUCUGCAGUGGUUUCAUUUCUUAGAAGUACACACGCAUUUAAGCAAGAUCUCAUCUCUGACUUAGAAUAAACUGUUAAGACUUAAAACUUACUUACUUUACCUACACCAUAGGACUUGUAACCGUCACUUCUGUCUUGAGUGGUUAAAAGAUAGAACAGUCUAGCCAAGUGUCAUGUCUCUUAUUCUUGAUCAGCUAUAGCUCUGGGGUUUUUGCAGAUUUUCAAAUAAAACUCAGAAAUUCCUUAUAUGAUUCUCUCAGGUCUCUCUUUUGUGGUAUUUUUGGAUCCUUACCAAGGCAGUGAUGGUAUAUGCCUUCUCUCAAGAUAUGUAGUAUUUGUGGUAUGAAGCAUAGUGACAUUGUCUUCUCUCUCACCCUACUCUAAUAAGGCUUUAAUAUCUGGAGCUCAUAGGUGGGAGAUAAAGUAUACAUACUUACAAGACAUUUAUUGCAUAGUCAAACCAUGGAUCCAGAGAAACAAGUCAAUAAGUCAAAUCAAGAUGUGCAUGUGUGGCGAAUGUAUGGUGUAUGGUGAUGAUGGUGAUAACAAUGGUGAAAGUCUAAUUCUACUUUUGCUCUUUUAAGGGGAUACAUACCUUUCUUGCACUUAGAAGCUUUUUGGGGAGAAUGAGAUGCUCCAUAUUUUCUUUUUCUUACCUCUCAGGUGGGUAUCUUGUACCCCUAAUUCUACUAUCGGACACUUGUCCAUUUUUACCUCUCGUCUCACUUUUUCUUUUCUUCGAGGUUCCGGGCACUUGCCCCUUUUUAUUUACUCGUAUAUUUUUUAUUUUUUUUUCUUCUUCUUUUUUUUUCUCUUUUUUUUUUCUUUCUAGAGCACUCAUCUCCUGAAAUAAUGUAGCAAGUGGUAGUAACCAAAAUAACUAGAGCAUUUAUUUCACAGGGAAUAACAGGGAUAGGAAAAUAUUUUUGGCUAUUCUCUCCCGGAUUAGGAGUAGAAUAAUUUUGGGUAAAACUGGAGAUAGAAAUGAGUGGAUAUAUGUGGAUGAUAUUUCCGGAGUAGAAGUAGCAUGUAUGAGUAAUCGUGCAAGUGAAUCUUGAUUUUAACCACAUGACAAGCUCCUAAGGGUCUACACAGCUUGACCACACUCAAUGCUCAUAAGCAGUAAAUGGUAAAUGUGUGGCUCAAGGUCUAGCAAGC